rnacentral:lncRNA from 1 species
CACAAUAGUGUUAAAUUGGGAAUGUUGAAGUAACGAGCAGUAUUCUGGAUGAGAUUAGAGAGGCAGAAAUCCAUGUGCUUUUGGUUGAUAAGUUGACUUUAGUGAAUCAAGGUCAAGUGGUGAAUUCAGAGUUGAUGAGAAUGGUAUUUUGAAAUUGGGAAUCGGGUGUGUAUUCCGGAUGUUACCGACUUAAGAAGAGUAUUCUUGAGGAAGGACAUCGUAGUGGCCUGAGUAUUCAUCUGAGCUACGAAGAUGUAUCAUGAUUUGAAAAAGUUAUUUUGGUGGCCGGAAUGAAAACAGAAAUUGCGAGUUUUGUUUAUUCUUGUUACUUGUCAGAAGUCAAAGAUUGCAAUCAGAAGCCGUCUGGGCUAAUGCAACCGUUGGCUAUUCCAGAGUGGAAGUGGGAUAGUAUCAGUAUGGUUUUGUUUCUGGUUUACCGAGAACAAUCAAGAAUUGUGAAGCUAUUUGGGUGAUUGUUGACAGAUGACAAAAUCGGCUCAUUUCAUUCCGAUCAGAAUGGAUUAUCCGUUAGAGAGAUAGCUGAGUUGUAUAUUGAGAAAAUUGUAAGUUUGCAUGGUAUUCCGUCGAGUAUGUUUCGGACAGAGAUCCUAGAUUUACAUCGAAGUCUGGGAAGGUUGCAGAGGGCUUUGGGAACUAAGCUGAGAUUGAGUUCUGCAUAUCAUCCCGCAGACUGAUGUCAGACCGAGAGACGAUUCAGUCACUAGAGAUCUUUUGAGGGCUUGUGUUUUGGAAAAGGGAGGUGCUUGGGAUUGUUAUUUGCCUUUGAUUGAGUUACCUACAACAAUAGUUUUCAUUCGAGCAUUGGUAUGGCACGUUUGAAGCUUUGUGUGGUAGGAGAUGUCGGACACCUUUAUGUGGUAUGAGUCCGGUGAGAGUGCUGUGGUUGGACCGGAGAUUGUUCAACAGACUACGGAAAGAUUAAGAUGAUUCAGGAGAAGAUGAGAAUUGCUCAGAGUCGUCAGAAGAGUUAUCACGACAAGAGGAGGAAGUCACUUGAGUUUCAAGAGGGAGAUCAUGUGUUUCUUCGUGUCACUCCGAUAACUGGUGUGGUCGAGCUUUGAAGUCGAAGAGUUGACACCUCGAUUUAUUGUCCUUAUCAGAUUUUGGAGAGGAUAGGGGAGGUAGCCUAUCGUAUCGCUUACCGCCGUCGCUUGCGAUUCAUAGGUUUUUCAUGUGUCUCAGCUGAGGAGGUACAUUCAUGAUCCGUCGCAUGUAGUCCCAAUAGAUGAGUAGUGAGAGAUAACCUGACUGUUGAAACAUCACCUAUGAGGAUUGAGGAUCGAGAGUUAAGCAGUUGCGGGUAAAGAGAUUGCCUUGGUGAAGGUAGCUUGGGGAGGACCAGCAGGUGGCAAUGUGACUUGGGAACUGGAGAGUCAGAUGAAGGAGUCUUAUCGGAGUUAUUUGCUUGAGGUAGUUUUUCGAGGACGAAAACUCUUUAGAGGGGGAGAGUUGUAACACCCCAAUAAAAAAAAUAAGAAAUUAUUUGAUUUAAAUUAAUAUUAUAUUAUUAAUUUAGUAAAUAAUUGGAAUUAUUGGAUUAUAUAUUAUUAUUAUAUAUUUGGAAUAAUAGUUAUUGGAAAAUAUAUAAGUGUGAAGUAAGGAAAAGAAUCCCAUUUGGUAAAAGAGUUUACGUGAAACAGAGAAGCGGCUGAUAAAAGUGGAAUGUGGAGAAAGGGCAAAGAGGAAGAGCAAGGGCAAAGGUUGAGAAGAGAAAAGCUUGGAGCUUAGAGAUACCGAUUAACUCAGGUAAGGGGGAUCGUCGUUUAAUGGGUAUUAUGAUUAGCAUGUAAUGGUAGUGAUAAGCCGUUGAAUUGACCCUAAUUGGAUUAUGAAUGCUGAAUAAUAUGUUGGAUAAAACUGUUUUAGGCUGUAAUUGAUCCGUGUUUGGGUUAGUUGUGAAUUUCCGACCGUAUAGUUUUUACGGAAUUGGAAUCGGAGGUCCGGAAGUCCUCCAACGGCGGAAAUGCGGAGAAUUCUGCAUUCUGCCUUGUGUUAGCGCAGGAACAGCUUCUGUCUUGCGUUAACCGGUUAACCCAGGGUGUUAACGCGGUUAACACUGUUAUGUAUUCUGAAUAAUUGCUGUUGUGUCUGCGUAACGGUUAACCCAGGGCGUUAACCGGUUAACACUGUUGUGAUUGCUGAGAUAUUGUUGUUUGUGCUGCGUUACGCGUUACCCCAGGCGUAACCGGUUAACACUGUUAAGUUUUGGGCAGGAAGCGUGUUUGUGCUGCGUUAACCGGUUAACCAGAGCGUUAACCGGUUAACACUGUUGCAGGAGUGGAAAAAAUUGUUAAUUAAAAUGUUUGUGUGCCUAAUUGAUGGUUGCCUAAUCGGUGUGUGAUAUAGUAGAGUGAUUAUUCCCGCUGUUUUGAGCAGUAUAGGUAUUAGUAGAGUGUGCUAAUACUGUGUUUAAUUAUUUGACAUGAUAUGAUGUGUUGAUACAUGUGUUGAUAAUGUAUGAUGGUAUGCAUAAUGUUGUGAAUGUGUAUGUUAUGCAUGUGUUGUGAAUGGACUGUUUUAUGGCUUAGAGAUGAGCAUCGGUCCAUUUCGGAUUAUUGUUUGAUGUUGCAUUGCUAGGUGAUUAGCGUGCAUAAUGUGGCUUUAUGGUGGAGCUAAUCCCCAUGGUGAGGAAAUAGUGAUGUUAGUCAUUGGAUCUGUUUUUGAUGUUGCAUGCUAGGUGAAUAGCGUGCAUAGCAUGGCCUUGGGGUGGUAGCUAAUUCCAUGGUGAGGAUUAGUGAUGUGAGUCACUAGUCUCAAAUGAGUGGGACUGGUGAGCUUGGUAGCCGUACCUGGAUUUGGUCGGUGAAGUUGAACUAUAUUGUACGAAUAGUCGGUACCGCUGCAUGCAUGGAGUCUCAUUGCAUAAUAUAUGUGUAGUGUAUAAUAUGAAUGGAUGUAUUCCAAUGUUAUACGUGUGUUGUGUUGGCAUUGAGCAUGAAGUGAAUUGUGUUGAUCUUGAGUAUGAUGUUUGAGUUGAUGUGCCGUUACUGAAUGUGUGAUACGAUUAGGGUGAUUAAUGUGUUAAAUUACUUAACAUGACAUUAUAUUCUAUAAUGCUUAUUAUAUCGAUUGAGGAACUCACCCUUACAACUAUUUUUUCAGGUAACGAGCAGUGAUUGAGAUAGAAGCUAAUGCUUGGAGUCUAGUGUAGUCUCCUUAGUGGGUCAUGCUGCAUAGAUGUAACAUCGGGAGGGAACAUUUUUAUUGUGUUUGAUGUUUGCUGAACAGUUUACAUGUAGUAUGUUACAUGUUUUGAAUGAUCGAUUGAUCUCUAUCCGCUGCGUAUUGUGCAAUACUUAUGUUUUGAGUUAUAAUAAUGAGCAUGACUAAAUAGUAUGACGAAUGGUGCGAAAUAAUUGUGUGACACCCUUAAUUGCAUGAUUACUCUGAUUUAUAUGUUGUUAUUUUAAUAAAUAUUUUGGGGUAUUUUAGAAGGGUGUUACAAUAAUCCUUAUGUGUACAAUUACCCUUUUCCCUUAUGUCUAUAUUGACACAAAGGCAUAUACCGUGUCAUCCUUGUCCAGUUCAAUAUCGGGCCCAUAGACAUUUAUCCUGUUACGCAGGAUGGGCAAAUUCCAUCUAGGUCACUCAUGUCCCUUAGCAUGCUUCGUGGAGUACCAUCAACUGUCUUUAUGGUCAUCCAGUUACGGACAAUGUUUGAUCAACAAUAAGGCACUCGACUCUACAUAUAGGGUUCAUAUAAUAUUCAUAUAGUACACAAUUAUCACCAUGAGAUAACUUAUGACACUUUGCAUAACAUUCUAUAUAGUAUUCUCAUAGUGGGUCAAUCCAGUAUAAAUAUUACUCUUAUAUUCAUACAUAUGUUAAGACUGAUACUCCUAUCCACUGACCCAUGAGAUGUGAUCAUCAGUCUAUAUACAUAAUAGUCUUAAUGCUUUAAUAUUAUCCCACUUCACAAUAAAGCUCGACUACGGAUACUUUAAGAAUAAUGUCCUUAUGUUUAAUGUGAUCUCACGAUUAAAUCACACUUUAUACAUUAAACGGACUAGCUAUUCUAGGGACUUUAUUAAACAAACAUAAUAAAGAAAAAGCCUUUUAUUAUUAAUAAAUAAUUAGAUACAAGUACCAAAAGUAUUGGCCUCUAGGGCUUACACCAACACCAUUUUCUCUAAGCGCACAAGCCCUUCCUUCAACGUGAAGUUACAUAUCCAGGAAGUCAUCUCUCACACGUGCUCGCUUAGGGUGCCCAUGAACAUGUCCUAGCGAGCAUUUCUUGUAGAAAGUUAGUCUUUAUAAGGUCUUUGUGUGUUGCUCGGUGGUUUCUUAAUCCUUUUUACAUGCUUUUAAUAAAUAUACAAAUAGAAAGUCUAAACAUGUUUUUAACAUUUUUCAUAGAUAAAUUACUUUUUUUUUGUAUUAAUUACUUAUAAAAUAAGUCAAUAAGUUUCUACUUAUUUUACGUAAUUUUGACACUUAACAGGAGGAGUUGUGAGAACCAGUAUUAGAAGAUCCAGAAUAGGUCAUACAGUUGAGUAUGACACCCAAUUUCUAGUAACUGGUGUAGAAAUCUCAUGCUCUAACCUAUGAAUCGCCAUCAACAAAUAUGGUGAAUCGGGGUUGCCAAAAACAUAAUCGAAAGAAAUUUCUAACUUUAUGUAAAGAGAUUGUGAAAGUAAAAAGGUAGUUACAACCUCUAGUAUCUAACAAAUACGAGGACCCCCUAAACCAUGAAUAAGAACAACCAUCUCCAAAGACUUCAUCCCCAUUGCAUUCGUGGCUACAAUUGAAGAAUCCACAAUCUAACCAACUUGAAAAUGUGAAAAAAAAAAUCCUGAAUGAAGAAUUGGAAAUUUUUGAUUUUUGAACCAAAGAGGUGGAUAUAGGAAUAUUCUCAUCUUUUGGAGGAGUGCAAGAAUGAAGUAUUUUCAAAAUCUAAUUUUAAAUCUAAGGCACAUCCCAUAUUUAACUCUAAACUAGUGAGCGCACCUCCCUCCACAUGCUAAUGAUGCAACCUGUAGUGAUGUGGCUCAGAGGCCCACAAAUGACCCACGAAUCCACUAGCUUAUUUGUCAUAUUUUUAACAGGUAAUGAUCUGAGAUGCUUUUUCACAUAGUGUGAACCCUACUAUUUAAUGUUUCCCAAGAUAAUAUGAGAAAGACCUAAGACACGUUCUGACGACGUAAACAAGAUUAUCACACAAUUGAGCUUAGUCAACACUCUGUUAACCUUGCUACCACCUUCUGUACCAACAUCAUUAGAGAAUGAGAAAUGGAUUAAAACCUAUUUACUGUUGACUCUAAGCACCCCCCCCCCAAAAAAAAAACAAGUGUCUACCUCUUACUUACCUUGUUCACAAAAGAGGGGCCAGAUAUUGGUGAAUGGGAAAAUGUCACGUCGCACAUUGUCAAAGUUAACUGUUAUUUAACCUUCUCAACUCUAUGACCAGUUAAACCAUUAUUUACACCUUCAUCAUUUUUCGGAAAAACCUAAUGUCCUUCAUCCCUCAUUCCCCUCUAACCAAACUCCAACCAUUAAAUCACUUUUAUAGGUAACAAGAGCCAAAAACAAACCACCAAUAUUCACUUUCACCCCCUUAUUAAUAAUAACAUCAACAAGAUUAUAGAAGUGAAUGGCCAAAACAAAGACAAAGAUAUAACUAGGGAUGUUCAAAACCAAAUCAGUCUAAUAAAAAAUUACAAAUUGAACCAAACCAAAUAAAAAAUGGCAAAAAACCGCAUUUGAUUCAGAUGUGUUUGAACCAUUUUUUAAUAAAACCGCACGAUUUCGUUUGGUUUGCAAUUUGUAUUUUGCAAACUGAAUCAAACUACAUUAUGUUAAAACUCAAACUUCAUUAAACCCAUAUCCAACACAUACUCAAACUUAUUAUGCAUUAGUCAUUCGAUUACAAACAAUUUCCUUUUCCUUAUAUUUAAAGUUUCAGUUUCAAACUUCUCAAAUCUCUAAUAGCAAUAUCAUGUCUUUUUCGCUAGGUACAUCUUGUCGCCUCUUCUCUAAUCUCUACUCCAUUAUAUUCUUUCUUUUUCAUCUUCUCAUUUUUAUGUUAUUGUUCUCUCUUCCAAUUUCAUUUUUAUCGCACAUCUUAUUCUCUAAUCUCUCCUCUCCCAUGGUCUUUCUUUUUCAUCUUCACUAAUCUCUCAUCUCCUCUAUUUUUUUGUUUUAUUAUAAUAUUUUUGAUAUGGUUUUAUGCUAUUGUUUUAUGUUUAUUAUUCCAUUUUUGUCUAAUAUGAUUUUUAUAUAUUAAAUGAGAAAUUGUUAUCUAAAUAUGAUGAGUUUUAUUGUUAUUUAGUAAUGCACGAUUGACUAAAUACAAAGUUAUAUUGUUCUUUAUAUAUGUAUGAUUCAAUAUUUUUUUUUGUAAAAAAUCAAAUCAACCGAACUGAAUCAAACCGCGGUGGUUUAAUUUGGUUUGGUUUGAUUUUGAUUUUAUUUCUAAAAGGCAACCGAACCAAACCAAACUACAUAUUUGUUCUUUCGAGAUUCAGAUGAUUUUUAGCUUCAAAAUCGUUCACACUACACCGGGAACACCUCUAAAUAUAACUAAGAUUGAGGUAAAAUCUAGAAAAACACGUUCUUGAUCAUAUGCCAAUAAUGAGACUUAUGUAUAUGAUUGCAUAUAGAUCGAGGAGGACCUUCUUAAUGAAUGUUUAUGAAUCUGAGAGGUCGAUCAAAAUACACUUCUUCAAUUCUUCUUAAAUGAAAAUGUUCAUAACAUGUUUUAUAUCCAUUUUAAACAGAUACUUAAUGUGUUCUAUAUAUCUCAAUUGAAAUUGUGUGAAUCCUCAAUCUACUAUAAUUCAUCCACUCUCUUGAUGCAUCCACAAACUCAUCAUUCAUCAAUGAACCAAACCUCACUCUAGAAAGGAAAAUGGCCAAGACAAGACACACAUUCACCAAAAAUGUUAUUGCAGGGAAAGGGAGAAUCUCUUUUCAAAUUAAUUUUCACACUUGAGGACGAGUGUGCGGUUAAAGAAGGGGUAUUGUCGUAGAGUUUAUUGACCACCAGUUCACUUAAUAGUACCCAUUUAGCAUAUAAUGGGGUUACUUUCCAAGUAUCACUUUAGCAUUUCCUUACUUUCCAUGUAUCACUUUAGCAUAUAAUUUCAUCCCGUAGUUGAAUUUUCAGUUAGGGGUGGAGAGUAAUGAUCAGCACCAUAAUGCAUUCUGGGAUUAUUCAAUGCCAUCCUAUGCAUGACCAUGACAUCAAAAUAUGUAGAGGGUGGUCGCGGCUCCUAAUUUUCUUUUUAAAAGUAUAAAUCAAAUAUCCAUGGCACACAACUCCAAACUAAUCCCUCGAACUGUAUAUGACCACAACUCGUCUCAAGAGAUUUAACAUUGUUGUGCGCACCCAAGUCUCCAUUCGAACUCGAGCUCUGGUUAAGAGGAAAGAAACUCCCCACCAACUUGGAUAUCCCAUUCAAGUGCUCUUGGGUUCAAUAGUGUUCAUUGUUUUUUGGAUAGUGUACUAACCAGUUUUCAAUUUCUUAACCGGUUUUAAAAACGAAAUAAUAUUUCUGUAAUCGGUUUUGAUAAGUAGAUUAUAAAUCCAAACCAUUGUAAUGAUUUCUAUGUGUAUAUGGAUUGAAUAUUUAUAAAUCCAAUCCAUGAACACUGAUACAAAACUACAGGCUAAAAUAUUGGCAAAGCGUAUAUAGUAAUUCCUACUGGCAAACUGAAUCCAGUGAAUUCUACCAGUUAACUCAAGAAGGAUCUAAUAUACAUACUUAAACCCCUGGAGUCAAUAAUAGGGCACAACUGGCUUUUCUGACAAUGUAUAUCCACCAAAGAAAAAGAUAGAGGAAUGAUUCAGAGCAUGAAAGCUAAAAAAACUGAGCAAGGAAUUGUAUCCACCAAACAUCUUCAUGUAUAUGAUAAAUGAUAAAUUAAACAGCUAUUCAGACCGACAACUUGGAAACAACAAAACCACUUGGCAAUCUCCGAACUGCAAUGCUUCUUCCAUUCCCUGUAAUCAUCGCCUCAGCUUGCAUGGAAAGCCUGUUGUAAGGCAAAAAGGUAGCCACUCAGUGUAGGAACUACGGAUAAUUUACAAUUACAUUACAAUGGCAAUAUUAAUUAAAAUAGAUUUUCCCGGGCCUCCAAAAUGUACAGACACGUGUACGAGUUCUACAUUAGGGUAUGGCAGGAUAUUUAAUAUGGAAAUAUAACAUAAAUAUAUAAAUCAUAAGAUCAACAUAAUUUCACUGAGUAAAAAAUCCAUAAUUCCACAAGUCAGCUUGUUUUAGAUUCCAGUGAAAGCAAACAGAAAAAAACGGUAAUAGAUUAACUUUUUUUAGAGAAAGCUUUUUUCCGCUUCCACUAAAAUCUUGCUCAAGAACGAGGACACCUCAGACAAAAAGGGGGCUAUAUACCCCCCAAAAAAUAGAGGGCAGUUUUGUUUAGACGGGUGUGGAGUUCACUUAUAAAAAAAAGAAAUCUUCAAAUAAAGUUCACUUAUAAAAAAACGAUAUAAGUGAAGUGUUCUCUUCUACAUCAAUUACUUAUUUCAUCCGCGACAAGAUAUCAGCCAGCAACAAUAAUCAACAGUGAUUUUGGUCAUACCUUAACCAGUUGAUGGGAGAAAAUAAUCAACAGUGAUUUUGGUCAUACCUUAACCAGUUGAUGGGAGAAAGACCCUUAUAAGCUCUUUCACGGUGAUCUUUUUUCUACAGGUAGGACAUUUAGCCUGAGCACUUAUUGCAGACUUGAUACAUGCCUUGCAAAAAAUAUGACCACACCUUGUCGACAUUUCUUCAACCAAAGGGCCCAUGCAUAUAGGACAAUUGAAGACGGGUUCCUUUGGAGGCUCAGGUAGCUUUUUGACAUUUUCCACCUGCCAAAGAGAUCCAAAUCAAGUCAGAAAUUAGAACUCCAGUAAAAAUUUAUGACCUUAUAUAAGUUUUUGUUCAUUGGAGGUGGUGAUUAAAUAGCAACAGAUGAUAAGUUUUAUAUUAUAGAGACUAAGAAUAAGAAAUAACUCCAAGUACGGGGCAAAACUUGCAUAUUGAAAAUAAUGUGAUAUUAUGCAGUACAAUGCUUAAUAGAUUUAAAGACACAAAAAAACUUGGACACGGAAAAGCAUUGGCAUAUUGGCCAGUAUCUAACUGCGCUAUAAAAGGAUGAAGAAAAGUAAGUUGUGUUCGACAUAAAGAUAAAAGAACCACUCUAACAACACAACAUAUUCAACAGCAAGCAGCCAUAGCAAACCACACUUGCAUCAAUUCAGUUAAAUGCAAGUAAAAAUGUCUCAACUAAAAAUACCAUAAAUCUACUAUCCCAGCUUAUGCUCAGUGGUAGCCUGCCCCCAUCAAUUUUCCCUAUCCCACAACUGAAAUAGACUAUCUCCUCAGGUCCCCAAGAGAACAGCAAAAGGACAUAUUCUUAAGAAAUAAGUAUUUAAAUCUAUAUAAUUGUGCAAAAUGUCUAUACAAAUAUAACAAGUAAAAUAAAAGGUACUGUAAAUAGUAGCCUAAGAAUCAUAGCUAGAAACAAAUCAUAAAGUAAUACCAAAUUACAUGCCACAAGGUUGAAAUUAAUUAUCCCUAACCCACCAGCUAAUUAUUUGCCGCGCAGUAGAAAAUUAAUUGGUACAAAUCCAACAGCUAAUUUUUUUCAGAUGAUAAGAGCCAAAGGAAACAUUGAACAUAAAACAGUAUGACAUGUAACAAAAUGCUUUUACCGGAGCACUACUACUGCCUUCCAAAUUAAUAUAAAGAUCACAAUUGAUAAUGGUUCGAUUUGGAGGUUCUCUUCUGCGCUUGUAGCGAAUAUUGUUGUUUACCCUAGUCUGCUCUUCUGCAAUAAUCAUGAAUGACAGAUUAUAUCAGCAAAAUAUACAAGUAUAAUAAAUUAAAAAUCAUGAGGAGUAAAGACUGCAUCAGGAAAAAGGCGAAUGCAUAGUUAAAAGAUAUUUUUUAUAUGAUAAAAAUCAUUUGAUGGGAUAUAGAAGCUUCAGUACAAGACAUUCUAACCCAGUCGGCAAGUAAAUGGAUUGGGGGAAGUUAGGAAAAGCAGUACUGAAAAGUAUAGUAAAUGUUAGCACCGGGGAGAACAUAACUUAAUUCCACAAUUACUAGGAAUAAUACACUUCCUAACCCUUACAUAACUACAGCAAAGACAAAUCAUUGGCUAUAAACAAACUUUCAUGAUAUAUGCCACUUGAGUUCUAUGAUUUCAUUUGAUUACCUGAGGUGAGGCAAGUCUACAGGCUAUAAGUACAAUUACAAGACAAUUAUUGUCAUCUUUAAAAACAACAAUGUUUGCUCGUGAGAAUAAAGGAAUUUCAUGUUACCUAAAUCCACAUCAACUAUAGUCCUCCCGCAAUUUCUUCUAGAAUUGUUUUUAGCCUAAGAAAACAGACAACUAAAAAAUUAGAUUCCUUUCCAACAAAUAAUCUAGUAUUGACCGAAGGACAAUAAACAGAGAAUAUACAGAAGGGGAGAUAAACCUCAGCAAAAGCCCUUGGGGAAGAUUCAAUAACAUCAUCAUCAAUGGCCUCCACAUCAAUCAAAGGGGGUUGUUGCUGGUUGUUGGCUUGUUGUUGCUGGUUGUUGACUUGAGUUUCUACUACUUGAGGCUCCAACUGAAUGGAAGGUCCCUCCUGCUCGCGAUUAUCACCAGCCGGUACCCGGUUAAGGUCAAGGUCCAAAACUGCCUUCCUUCGCCGGUAACUUCUGACAGCAGUCGGCCUGCCUGUUCGAGAGCUCAUAUUUGAACCAAUGUUCCCCGAUUCCAAUAUGAAAUCUGAAAAAAACCAAUACAUCAUAGCUACACAAGUAAAAAAAAGAGUGAAGAAAGUCUAAGCAUAAAAAAACAGUAAAAUUUGGUGAAGAAAAAUAAAAACUCAAAAUUUCAAAAACAGUGCUAGAAAUCAUAUAAUAACAAAUCCCAUACCUACCUACACAAGUAAAAACAGUGCUAGAAAUUAUAAACCUAUGUUUACAAAAACAAAGCCAAAUAAUUUUUUAAAAAAAUUACUAGCACAAUCGUAAACCUAAUAAAAAAAAUUCAAACACAAAAAAAUCACUUCAGAUACAGGUUGAAAUUCGAGAUAAUAGCAAACAAAACGUAAACUUGAGGGAACUAAUAGCAAUUGUAGAAGCUGUUUCAACGAUUGUAAUCGAUCGAUGAAAAUCGGAAACCCUAACACAGGGAAAGAAAGAAAACGCACCCGAGGGAAAUCGUUGUGAGAGAGAAAGAUGAGAAAGAUAGUGGUAAAUAUAAUCUGAUGGAUGAGAAUGGAAGAGGGAAAGAUUGUGAAAUAAGGAGGAGUUAGAUCUUAUAGAAACGUAAGAAAGAAAAAAAGGAGGGGAAGAAAUGAAAAUAUUGUGAACGGAGGUAAUGGGGGUCGGGUCGGAAGACCCUGCACGCGCUUUAAUGCAACCAAAUGCUACCCAACGUGGUGCUCUUUCUCUCUUCUUCGUAUCCCAUUACCUUCGUUUGGCACGCGUUUCUUUUCUUUUUUCUUUUUUUUCAAAACUUAUUUACUUACUUUUUUUUGACAAGUCUUACCUUUUCUUUUUUAAAAAAGUAUUUUUUGAAAAAGGGAGAUUGUAGUGAUUCUUAUUUGAGAAUGCUUUCCGUUGCAAUUUCCUUUUAAAUUUUGUAUAAAUGCAUUCAAAUCAAUUUAAUAUAAAUAAAUUACUCGCUAAGUUUUAGUUUUUAAUAAUAUUUAUUAAUUAAAUAUAACAGAUUAUGUGCGAAUACAUUUAAUAAUAAGACCGACUUAAUAGAAAAGUACAAUUCAAAAUUUUAAUUAUUUAAAUUGAUGAAGAUGUGUAUUUUUUUCAAUGGAUUUGAAUUCAAUAAAUUUAUAUCUUUUUUAAUCUUCUUUGAUUAUAAAUUUUUGUUAUUUGAUUAAUCCAAUUGUAAAAAAUAAUAAGAAUGUUGAACAUAAUAUUUUUUAAAAAGAAAAAUAUCUUAUAUAUAAAGUAAUUGAUUAAAAUUUUGAUUUUUUUAAAUAUAUAUAAAUAUAUGAAAUAAUCUAUUUUUCUCUAAAAUACAAUCAACAUAAAGUAUACUUAUUAAUUAAAAAUUAUAUUUUUCAUAAAACAUACUUAAAGAUUUAUCAUUUUCUCUAAAAAAGAAUAAUUAAUAAUAUUUAUUGAUUAUUGAUUUUUUCCAAUGUAUAAGAUAUAGAAAAUAAUUAUUUUUUCUUAAAUACAAUCAACAAUUAAAUAUACUAUAACUAACUGAUUAUAAUUUUUUUUAAUAUACAAAGCAUACUCAACGAUUUAUUUAUUUUCUUUAAAAAAUAAUUAACAAUUAUAAUUAAUUAAAAAUUGAUUUUUUUCAAUAUAUAAGGCAUACAAAAUAACCUAAUUUUUAACUAUGUUUUAUAUAUUGAAAAAAUAUAUCUUUUAAUCAAUUAACAUACUUAAUUGUUGAAUGUAUUUUUUAAAAAUAUUAGAUUAUUUUGUAUGUUUUAAAAAAAUAAAAAUUUGAUCAAUUAGUUUAUUUAUUAAUAUGUUUUUCAUUUUUUUUUUAAAUUAUUCCAAUGUGUUUGUCUUAUCAUGUGCACUUUUGUUUUUCACCGUUGAAAUAACUAAAUGGUUAAGAUUCAGAGCAUCAAAAUCCUUCUUGAGAGAAAGAUACACACAUAAUUCAGACACCACACUUAUCUUAAUAGUUGGGAUUUAUCCAACGAUUCCCUUGUGUAGGACACCGUGUUCAUGGAGACAAUUUCAAUUAUCGUUCAUAUAUAAGUGUGACUUUGGAUGAGACCAAGGUACAACUCGUUACACGCUUUCAAGUUUCUUAUCUUUGACUUCACUUUUUUUAGGGUUUGAAUGCUAAUCUUAAGGAUAUACGCAUUAUCCAUCCAUCAAAAAGCUCUACCACCAUGUUAGAGAUAUUAUAUAUUGGACUCCCUCGACCAACUACCAAAAUUAUGUUUCAUAUCAAAAUAGUGACAUUGUCGGUGGGAAUUGUUUCUUGAUUCUCGCAAAAUUCCACAUUGAAAUUCUCAUAUUUUCUCUAUUACACAAUUGCAACCAUUUUUUUUACCGAUAUGGUCAUCGUUAACUUUUAUAAUCGUCAACAUUGGUAGCUUCCAAAGUAACUUGAUUUUUCAGUUACCGCAAUGUUGCCCCUAAGUUUGACGCCUUCACAUCGAUCAUCACCUUCGCGUCUCAAAAGUCACUUCCUCCCCCUGAGGCAGAUGAUCUAGUCCUGGCCGCUUCUAUAGUCACUACCUCUUGCUAGAUCCCGACUUAUCAACUAGUCAAACAAGAGACUUUCAAGGUCAUAUCAUAAUUUCAACCAUUUCAAUCGCAACUCCAAGGACAAACAUUGAAGUAACUUCUUCCAAUACCGUAAUUGCAAUUGUUAAAACCAUAAAUGUAUAAAAAGCUCUAGCGACUCCAUGCAAUACUCGGGAUGCAAGGCACAAACAGACUUAUAAUGAACAUUUAUAACCUAUUGCAAUAAAUAAAAUGCACAUUUACUCAAUGUGAGGCUUCUCCGUCUAAAAGAAAACCAAAUGAAGGUUUUGUCACAAAUCGCUACUCAAUUAGAAGUAUUGCAUUACGGUGAUCUCGAAUCACUCUGAGGGUCAUUCUCGGUGACGCUGCAUCACAUCGAAAGAGAGCAUUUGAAUCACCAUAAUGUCACCUGUAACACCUUAAACCUUGAUACUUAUAUAUUAAGCUUUACACGACAAUUUAAUGUGUCACCAACGAUAAAACCUUUAACAAAUCAAAUAUUUAACAAACAUGCAACAUAAAGUAUCAAUGUCAUACAACACAUGUCAUCUCACACUCACCUUCAUUUAGGGUAUCAUUGCAGCGACAUUCGAUAUUGAUUCAAAUAAUAACAACAUUGCAACUUAGACUUUUAGUCUCAAUCUUCAAAUCAUGAUAAAUAGUUUUCAAAAUAAAGAGCUAUCAUAUUUCACUUUUUAACAACUUCAACAUAAACCGAAUAAAAACGAUUAACCUCUAACAAAAUAUAAUAAGCAAACAAACGUUCCCAACCCGAAUGUUACAGGAUCAGAGUGAGACUUCUAAAACGGGGAUGAAACUAAGCGAAGUAACUUCAGAAGCUAACUUCCACUUACAACAACAAAAUCUACUCCUGAGUAUCUGCAAGGUGUCCAUGGUGGAUAAUAUGAAAGCAAAGGGGGUGAGAAACAACAAACCAAUAUAAAUAGUGUAAAGAAUGUUAAAGUAGAGAACGAACAACAAUCACACAUCCAUUACAUAAUCAACAACGUUCUCAUACCCAAUCAUAACAACAUGUACAUAUUAUAAAUCAAUCAACAACAUCAUGAAAGAUUGACUACAUAUGCAAACAUGUGUGCAAUAUACUUCACAACUGACUCAUUAUGUAUGUGGUAUCAUUCAUGAACACUCAGGUUCAUCUCGCUCCUAAUCCCCACCAUAGGACCAGAGCACACCAAAUUGUUAUCAUCACCAUAGGUAACGUUUCACUGAUCCCCGCAUGGAACCGACUACUCGCUCCCGCUCCCCACCAUAGAAACAGAGCACGUCAAAAUUGGACCGAAGUUUGUACACCAUGAUGCAUGACUCUUGACAACAUGCAUUACCACCAAAAAGUUCACCAAAAGGAUCACCAUGCAUAUCUCAACAUUUAUGCACGACAUCAUUCAUCAUAAGCAACAACUAAUCAAUGUUACCACCUUAAUAAAUAACAACAAACAACAUCAACUCAAUGAAUGUAACUUUAUAAGCAUUAAUUCAUGUUACUUCAUCAAAACAACAACAUAUCAUUGUAUAAACAUAACAAUUCGCUAACCGACCAUACAAAUCAUCACAACCAUACCUACAAUAGGUAAAUGUUUACAACUCAAACAUUUCACUAAGCACUACUCUUAGGUAGUUAUACGCGUUAUCUUUCUAAGCUUCAAACGACGUCUCUAUUGGACCUACAAAAUGAAAGAUACAACCAAAAUCGUUGGACAAUGCAACAAAAACAAAAGCAGCAUUUUUCACCAUUUGGCCUAUGACAAUCGAUUGUCAUAGGGUGACAAUUGAUUAACAUCAAACCAUAUUUCAUUAUGACUUCACAAAAAUCACUUUUCUAGGCAUGACAAUCGAUUGUAAUGUUGUGACAAUCGAUCGUCACUGUGUUAUUUUCUAUAAAAAAAUCAGUUUUUAUCAUACGAUCUCCACCCCUCUCACCCUUAAACAUUCAUACAUGUCUCCCACUAAUUUAAAAGUAAUAUUUUUUGGAAUCUUAUUCCCAUCAUUAUUAUUACUUGAAAUAAUAUUCCUAUCCAAGUGUUUGGCAAAAACUAAAUUUCCUAGGAAUGUUUAUAAUAUUUAUUUAAUUUAAAAAUUAUAAAAAAUAAAAUAAAUAAAUGUGAGUAGUAGUGGGGAGUUGUAGUUAGUUGAACUUUAUUCCCAUGGGAAUAAUGGAUUCCCAUCCUUUAAACAUUGGAAUAAAAAUAAAAGAACCAUGUGUAAAUAAAGUUCCUGAGAAUAAAAUAUGUCUUGGAAUAAUUUUUUUUAAAUUGAAUCAAACAUGAGAAUGUUGCAUUCCCAUGAUAAUAUUCCCAGGAAUAUUUUUUAAAACCUUGAAACAGACACACCCUUAGGGUUUUCUACACACUUAUUUCCAAUUAUCUCAUCAACCCGCGAUUUUUUAAAUUCACAUUAUUGCCCUAACUCCUUAACUUGUUGCUCCCCUUUAUUUCUUUAAAUUCUCCAUAUUGGUCCAAUUUUAUCCUCUUACUAUUUUAUUUAAUUAAUUCAAAUAAAUAUUAUUUAUUCUAAUCAUUAAUUAAAAUUCUAAUUAAUUCUAACAACUAUACUGAACUCUUACUCCCACAACCACAUAACAAGAAAUUAAAUCAUGCAAAAAGGCAUAAUUAAAUUAAACAAAAUUAUCUAACGAAAAUGGGGUGUUGCAUCACCGCCAUCGUGGUUGCAUUUCUCCUCCUCAUGAAUCAAAGGGGAAGUGAUGGUAGCCACACCUCUUCUGAAUAUCGUCUUCCUAGGAGAAUUCUUGCAUACCACUCCGAAGUGAGAAAUAAGUAACGCGCUGCCCACCAAGCUCCCUUCCACCAUAAAAAAAAUUCCAUUUGACAAGCACAUUGUUGAUUGCAUGAUUCCUAAGUCCCUUGAAAAAACUUCCAAAUCUGGACAACUACAACAUAAUUGGGGACUCAGACGAACACGUAGAACAUAUGGACAUUAUGCUUGAUUAUCAUCACGCCUGAAAGUGAAACAGAUGUUCAUCAUCAAUCAUAGUUUGGUUUUGAUGAAGACAAAAACUUAUCUUAAAAUAAAUAUCAAAGAAGAAAAGUAUUGGAAUAAAAGUAUCAAGUUUGCAUAAGUUUUUAGAUUUUAAUGGAAUUAGAUCAUAGACUAAGGUAUGAUGUGCAAUUUGGUUGUUAUAAGCUUUAGGUGUUCAAGAAUUAAUCAUGAAAUUUUAAACAUGCAUGAGUUUCAAGUUGCAUCUUUAAAUUAAUAAAAUUUGUAUUUUUCAUUGAAGCAAUCAAUUAUCAUAUUAGAGCAAUCAAUUGUCAUAUUAAAACAAUCGAUUAUCAUAUAUCUCUGCCAGCGAAAAACUUUAUUUUUAAAGCAUGACAAUCGAUUGUUGGGGUAUGUGAAAUCAAUUGUUAUAGUGUAUUUUUUGGAAAUUUUUUAACAUUAAAAUAAGCAAUCAAUUGUCACGCCUAUGCAAUUGAUUGUCAUUUGUAUGAAAUCAAAAAAUCAUGAAUAUUUUCAUACCUUUUUAUGGCCCGUGUUCAUAUAAACACCUUUCUAAAUCAUUGCAACAUAUUUUCAGAGUAUUUCUAAAGCAUUUCCAUGAGUUUCAAAGGGUAUCACGUGCCACUAUAAAAUGCAGAAGUUUUCAUUGUUAAAAUCACCUUUUUAAGGAACAAUUUUCAUAUGUUUCAAGUAUCACUAAAAUAUUAACAAAGAAACUUUUUCCUGCAUAAUUUUCAUUCAUAUGUGAAAAAAUAUAGUGAGAGCACUUGAGCACUUAAAUAUUUAUAUCAUUUUGAUUUGUUCAUUGAAGAAGAAUAUUGAAUUGUCAAUAUAUCAGAAAAACAAUAAAGAUCUUAAUUUUAUCAAGUCUAAUGCAAAGUCCGUCUGUACUAAAUUUUAUUUCUUUGUUAUAAUUUUCACCAAGUGUGUGAUGAUUCUUAUCUGUAAGAAAGUGGAUGUUCUUUCUAUAGGUGUCUGUAAAUAGAAAGGGUUGUCUUUCUAUUUGUUGGAAAAAGUCUUUUGAAUCGGGGUGACUCAAAGUCCACCAUAGUUGUUGGUGUUGUUGAAAAUCAAGGAAGUGGUUUUCCUUUUUGUUAUUGUUAGAAGAUUGUAAGAGAAGUAUUGGUGUGAGGCUAUUACAAAAAUCUAAUAAUAGUGAAAAUCUCUCACAGGGUGUGAGGGGACUUGAUGUAUCCUUGAUUGGAAAUGGGAACUAGUCUACAUCUUUGUGUUCUUUAUUUUUCAGCAUUUAAAUUCUAUAAUUUUCUUCAUACGUUCAUCAACAUAUUUUCGGAAAAAUAAUAAUAUAAAAACCAUCGCUUAAAACUCUAAAAAUCAGGAAAAUCUAAUUCACCACCUCCCCUCUUAGAUUACACUCUAUACUUAUAAUUGACGUCAGAUAAAUUUAAGGUAAUUUGCUCUUUGUUCCGGAAAGAUGGCUUCCGCUAAUAUGAUUUUUAGAGAUGGUGGUAGUAACAACAAAUCUCCAUGCUUUGUUGGUGAACAUUGUGAUUUUGGGAAAAUUCACAUGCAAGCAUAUAUUGAGGCACAAGGCGACGAUAUUUGAGAUGUUAUUGAAAAUGGUUCAUACGUUUCUAAGACGAACAUCAAUAAUGUAGAGCAAGAAAAAGUAAAAGGCUCUUGGAAUGAUAAUGAUAAAAAAAAAGUGUUAUUUGACAAAGGGCAAAAAAUAUGCUUCAAUCAUCCAUAAGUAUGGAUGAAUUAUAUUGUAUAUCUCGUUCUAAAACAAUAAAAGAGAUUUGGGAUAUUAUAGAAGUAACACAUGAAGGUUAGAGGUAAAAAAGAUCUAAACUAAACAUUUUAUCAUAAGAAUAUGAAAUGUUUAGAAUGCAACCCCAUGAAUCAAUCAUUGAUUUACAAAAGAGAUUCACUCACUGAAUAAAUAAUUUGAUGGCUCUUUGUAAAUAUUUUAUAAAUGUUGAAUCAAAUCUAAAAGUGCUUAGAUAUUUGACAAAAGCUUGGCAAUCAAAGGUAACGACUAUUUCAAAAAAUAAAAAUCUUUCAAAAAUGUCUUAUGCAGCAUUGUUUGGUAAACUUCAAGAACACGAGAUAGAACUUGAAAAUCUAGAAAGGCAUGAAGAUGAAAGAAAGAAUUCAAACAAUUUUUCUUUAAAUACUAUGGUUAAAAAUCAUGAUAUCCACUAAUUAUGAAGAAGAUGAUCUUAUCAAAAGGUUUGAAAAGUUCUUAAGAAAAGAAAGGAAAAUGAGAUCAUUUCAGAAAGAAAAAAACAGUAAUUAGGAAUGUUACAUGCUUUGAAUAUGGAAAAAGAGUACAUGUCAAGAGUGAAUGCCAUACACUUGAAAAGAAGAAUAAAUUCAAAAUAAAGAAGCACAAAGUGCCAAAGAAGGCAUAUGUAGCAUAGGAUGACAAUGAAAUAAGUUCAUCUUCAGAAGAAGAUCAUUGAAUCAAGGCAUUGAUGGCAUUACAUCAUUCAAGUGAUGAAGAACAUAAGGUUAGUGAUUCUAAAAUUAAUGAUAAUCCUUCAUAUGAUGAAUUACAUGAAAUGUUUUUGAAACUUUAUAGAUAAUGUCCAAAUAAAAAUAAAACUAUUUUAAAACUAGAAAGUAUGGCUAAUGACACAAAAGUAUAAUUAGAAGAAGUAAAAAAACUAUACAUGCAAUGAAUGUCAAGAUCAUGAAUCCAAAAUUGUUGAACUAAACCAAGCGAUUUAUAAAUAUGAAAAAUGUCAAAUUGGUCUAGAAAAUGUGUUAAGUAGUUUUCACCAAGUGUGUGGUGAUACUUAUCUAUAAGAAAGUGGUUAUUAUUUCUACAAGUGUUUUCAAAUAGGAAUGGUUAUCUUUCUAUUUAUUGAAAAAAGUCCUUUGAAUCAGGGUGAUUCAAUGCCCAUUAUAGUUGUUGGUGUUGUUAGAAAUCAAGGAAAUGGGUUGCUUAUUUGUUGCUAUUAGAAGAUUGUGGAAGAAUUAUUGGUGUGAGUCUUGUAGAAAGAUCUAAAAAUGGUGAAAAUCUAUCACGGGGCGUGAGUGGACUAGAUGCACCCUUGAUUAGAAAGGGGAACUAGUAUACAUCUUUGUGUUAUUUGUUUUUCUGCAUUUAAAUUUUACACUUUUCUUCAUACGUUAAUCAACAUAUUUCUAGAAAAAUAAGAACAUAAGAAGCAUCACUUAAAAAAAAUCUAAAAAUCCGAAAAAUCUAAUUCACCCCAUAGAUUUCACUAUAUACUUAUUCAUAAGUGUGAUGAAGUGAAAAUUAUUCGCAUUAACCUUCAAGGGAACCAACAUAAUAUGGUUCAAAACCUUGGAAAAUGGUUCGAUAAAAUUUCUUGGAGAAAAUCGUGUGAUGAGUUUAUAACUUAAUUGACAACACUAAAAUACCAGCAAAAAAUUAUAUUUAUUCUCAGUGGGAUCCAUCAAAAUAUGAAAUAAACCCUCAUAAAAGACACGAUUGCUUCCUUAAAGGAGUUGUAGAAGUUUGGGAUCCAACGACUGUCUUAAAUGUUAAAUAUGUGAAAAAGGACUGAUGGGGGACUGUAUGUUAUGUAAAAAUUUAGGACUAAAGGGCGUGGGGAACAUGCAAUAUCUCCUCCCAUUAGACCACCCCUACAUUAACUACAAAGAGAAGUGUUGAUCAGAGAUGUUGAGAAAACAAAGGAUAAUGGGACCCAAUGGGUGAGAGGUAUUCUAUUGUGAAACUAGAAAUGGAAAUGAUUGUGGAACUACGGUAGAGCGAAGCUUCAUGAGCACUACGACGAUGUGAGAUUAUAGAUCAAAUGUCAAGAUCACGUUGUUUCUUUAACCAGAGGUGUCAAUCUUGAUGUGAUGUCGUUGAUCAGUAUUUAUUAUCUCCAAUAUGGUGGACCUACGGGUUAACUGCAUGGUUAAAACUCCAGCAUCUAAGUCAGUUCAGGGUUCAAGAUAAUGGUAGUGAAAGUGGAGAUUAGAUAUUGUGUAUCUGAAAACCCUUUAUGAAGUUAUUUAUACCUUGGGUCUGACAAGGCAUAUUGGAUAAUAGGCCUCGUGUUAUUAGUCCUUUGGCCGAUGCGGAGCGGUGGGCCCCUGGCCUUUUGCCGAAACGAAAAAAUUUCCCCCCAAGAAUCUUCGGGCAUUCGGAACGUCGGGAGUCUUUUAGUAGUCGUUGUCGGCCCUUGAGAAUGUAUGUCCAAGCGUCGGCUGACAUGCGUCGCUUUGGUUUUUCCAAAGCGUGAUGGGGAUAUGAGCAUUAGAUAUGAUCCCAUUAUUGAAAUGUUUCGUCAUUUUUUGUUUGACGUGUGACCUGAAAAGGUAUGUGGUGACGUGACACAGUUUUUGUGUACUCGUGUACACUUCAGUAUAGUUGUCUUUCCCAGAUGAAAUAUGCUUAUUUUUGCUUUCAAUUUGAUCCAAUUGAUUUCCUUUUUUUAUAUAAAGAUGGAGACAGAUCAUGGAUAAACGUAUUAGCUAUCUUGUAGGUAGAGCUAGCAAAAUGGGCUAACACAUAUGGACCGACCCGACAUGCCUGAAAAAUCAUAGGGGAUUGGGCUUUAAAGUUGGAGCCCAUAUUUUUAGGGCUUUUUUAGCCCGUCCCUAAAAAGCCCACUACCUAUUAGGGCUAGCCCGUAUGGGAAACAAUAAUGAGUCAUGGCUUUGGCAUAAAAGAUUUGCACAUAUUCAUAUGGAACAUUUGAAUAAACUUAUAAAGCAUGAUCUUGUUAUUGGUUUGCCUAAGAUAAAAUUUGUCAAAGAUAGAAUUUGUGAUGCAUGUCAAAAGGGAAAACAAAUCAAAUCAACUUUCACAUCAAAGAAUAUAGUGUCCACUAUAAGGCCAUUACAAUUAUUGCAUAUGGACUUAUUUGGUCCAUAAAGAACAAGAAGCUUCGGAGAUAAUGUAUAUGCUUUAGUUAUUGUUGAUGAUUUCUCUAGAUACACUUGGACUUUCUUCUUAGUGCAGAAAAGUGAUGCAUUCAAGGCGUUCAAGAAAAUACGUUUCGUUUAAGUUUUGCUCUUUAGACUAUCUAUUGCCUCCAUAAGAAGCGACCAUGGUGGAGAAUUCCAAAAUGCCUCCUUCGAAGAGUUUUGCGAAGAACAUGGAAUAUUUCAUAAUUUCUUGGCACCAAGGACUACCCAACAAAAUGGAGUGGUGGAGAGAAAGAAUAGGUCACUUGUGGAACUUGCAAGAAUAAUGCUUAGCGACUCAAAUCUUCCAAAGUAUUUUUGGGCAGAUGCGGUAAGUACGGCAUGUUAUGUAAUUAAUAGAAUUAUUAUUAGACCUAUCUUGAAAAAGACCCCUUAUGAAUUAUUAAAAGGAAGGAAACCAAACAUCUCUUACUUUCACAUUUUUGGAUGCAAAUGCUUUGUCCUCAACAAUGACAAAGACAAUCUAGGUAAGUUCAACGAGAAUCCCGACGAAGGUAUAUUUCUUGGAUAUUCUCUUACUAGUAAAGUCUAUAGAAUAUAUAAUAAAAGAACUUUAAAAAUUGAAGAAUAUAUGCAUGUUACUUUCGAUGAAUAUAACCCCUCCAAGGAGGAUAUUGUUUUUUGUGAUGAUGAUGAUGAUAUUGUAGAAGUUCCUCAAAAAGAUACUUCAAGUGGAAACAAUGAUGAUCAACCAAAACACCAAUAUGAGCAAGAUCGACAAAAGACAAAUGAUAAUGAUAUACCUAAGGAAUGGAGAACUCAUUGGGAUCAUCCAAUUGAUAAAGUCAUUGGUGAUAUUAGUCAAGACGUUGUAACAAGAUUAAAUCUCAAAGAUGCAUGCUUGAAUAUGGAUUUUGUUUCACAUAUUGAACCUUCCAAAGUUGAUGAAGCUCUAGGUGACGACUAAUGGAUAAUUGUUAUGCAAGAAGAGUUAAACCAAUUCGAAAGGAAUCAAGUUUGGGAACUUGUCCCUAGGCCAAGUGAUAACCACAUCAUAGGAACCAGAUGGGUGUUUAAGAACAAGCUUGAUGAAAAUGGUAUAAUUAUUCGAAAUAAAUCAAGGUUGGUGGCCCAAGGAUACAAUCAAGAGGAAGGCAUUGAUUUUGAAGAAACAUUCGCUCCGGCUGCAAGGUUAGAAGUUAUCCGUUUAUUACUUGCUUAUGCAUGUUCAUUAAAUUUUCAGUUAUUCCAAAUGGAUGUCAAGAGCACAUUCUUGAAUGGCUACAUCAAUGAAGAAGUCUAUGUCAAACAACCCCCGGGCUUUGAAUACUUUAAGAAUCCUUUACAUGUCUUCAAGUUGAGGAAAGCUCUUUAUGGCCUAAAGUAAGCACCUAGAGUAUGGUAUGAUCGUCUCAACAACUUUCUUUGUGAAAAGGGAUUUGAAAAAGGUAAAGUUGACAAGACUUUGUUUAUUAAGAAAAUAAAAGGUAAGACUUUAUUGGUUCAAGUCUAUGUUGACGACAUCAUACUCGGCUCAACAAACAAAGAAAUGUGUGAAGAAUUUUCAUCGAUGAUGCAAGGAGAACUCGAGAUGUCCAUGAUGGGUAAGAUGAACUAUUUUCUUGGACUUCAAAUUAAGCAACUAAAGGAUGGAAUCUUCAUCAACCAAUCAAAGUACUGCAAAGAGUUGUUGAAAAGAUUCGACAUGGAUAGUUGCAAGGCAAUGUCUACUCCAAUGGGAUCCGGAUCUUAUGUUGAUCAAGAUGAAUCAGGUGUUUCAAUUGACAUAACAAAGUAUCGAGGUAUGAUUGGUUCCUUACUCUAUUUGACGUCAAGCCGUCCUAGUAUUAUGUUUAGUGUGUGUCUUUGUGCUCGUUUUCAAGCCAAUCCAAAAGAAUCACAUCUCACCGCUAUUAAGAGGAUCAUGAAGUAUCUCAAGGGAACAACAAGUGUCGGCCUAUGGUAUCCUAAAGGUAGUAUUUGCAAUUUAGUUGGUUAUUCUAACGCUGAUUAUGCAGGAAGUAAAUUUGAUCGAAAAAGUACUAGUGGUACAUGUCACAUCCUUGGAAAUGCAUUAGUAUCAAGGGCUUGCAAGAGACAAGUGUGUGUUGCUCUUAGCACUGCCGAAGUGGAAUACAUAGCAGCAGCUAGUUGUUGUGCUCAAAUACUUUGGCUUAAGUAACAACUUCGUGACUACGAACUCGAUCUUGGAUGCAUUCCUAUCCGUUAUGACAACACAAGUGCGAUAAACAUUACAAAAAAUCGGUCAUGCACUCAAGAACCAAACAUAUUAACAUUCAACAUCAUUUUCUUCGUGACCACGUGCUUCAAGGAGAUGUCAAAGUCACAUUUGUGAAAACUUAUAAUCAACUUGCCGACAUCUUCACAAAACCUUUGGCACGAGAACCAUUUUACAAAAUUCGAAGGGAACUUGGGAUUCUAGAGGAGUGUGAUAUAUAACUCGUCAAAUACACAUCAAUUCAAAUUCAAAGGUGCACUCUUCUUUUACCCAAUAUCUUUUUAUUUGUAUUUCUCUCGCAUAAAGUUGCCUAAGGAUAUGUUAAAGCAUGUGUAAUUAGUAGUUUGCUAAAAUUCAUUGCAUGGUGAUCUCGGUGAAGGUACUGUUUUUUUCCUUGAGGUAAUCGAUUACCACAUUUGGUGUAAUCGAUUACAUUCCUGAAUGUAUAUGUUAUAUUUGCCUUUGUUUUUGAUGUAAUCAGUUACCACUUCGGGUGUAAUCGAUUACACCCCUGUUUCGUAACAUUUUUUUUGCUUCUGUUUUCUGGUGUAACCGAUUACACCUCAUCGUGUAAUUGAUUACCACUGUAAGUUCUAGAUUUUGUUUAUUUUUAAUUAAAUGCCUUUGGAUAAGUGGAUUUUCAAUCAGAUUUUAUUUACUCUUACCUUAUCACUUUCCUAUCUCACUCUUCAUCUACCCUAAAUCUUCAAAGCUCUUAUCUCUCACUUAUCAUCAUAACCUAAAACCCCAUUAAAACCCCACUUUCAAUACUCUCCAUUGUUCCACUCUAUCUUCUCCAAACUCCAUUAAACCUCAAAAACCCUAACUUUUAAGCUUCCAUGGCUCCAUCAAGGAAAUAUAAAGGCAAGACUCAAAUUGAUGAAGGUAGCUCAGAACAUCAAGAAGCUACUCAACAUGCUCCAUCCCUCAAAUCCAGGAGACUUACUUUUGACUUCCAUAAUCGGUCACUUAUGUCGGUAAAAUACGGUAACCAUUCCUCUUUUCCUUCUCAUAGUUUUGAUUUUCCAGAACUGUUGAGACGUCAAAGAGUGUAUUCUAUGGUCUCCGAUUGUGGAAAUUAUUAUUCAGAUUUGGUUAAGGACUUCUAUGCAAAAUUGGUUCUUGUUCCCGGUGAUAAAGUUGUCUUAACUUCUAUGGUUAAGAAUACUGAUAUUGUUAUGGAUGUAUAAGCAUUUGGAAAUUGUUUGGGACUGCCAUAUAAGGGUCAACCUCUUAUUCAUGGAUUUACCUUUGAAUGGGAAGGUAAUAGCAAAAUGGAUUAUUUUUUCUGUAUCUGCCGUGUUUCACAACAAGCCUUUAUGAGUAAGAAAAAUCUUGCCUCUUCGCGGGUCCUCUUGUUUUCAAAAAAAUUUGGUAAGCGAUAGGAUGCUUCACUAUCUUAUUUCCUAUGUUUUGAUGCCUAAGCACUUAAAUCACUCUCAAAUUGGUGAUAUAGAGUUGCAACUUAUUUAUGCCAUCAAGAACAAGAUUGUUGUUAAUUGGGCAUAUACCAUUAUACAUCACAUGAAGCAUCAACAAUCUCUCACGGGAGGAAUACCUUAUGCAAGGCUUAUCUCCAAAAUUUUGGAAGCAUGUGGUAUUGAUCUCAAAAGGGAACCUAAGAAGAAGAUGACUACAAGAGAAUAUGAAAUCAAUGCUUCGACAUCAGUUUAGAAUACCGGUAUCUUCUUAGACAUGGAUGGAACAUAUAAGUACAAGGAUGAAUCCUCAACUUCUUCAAGUGCUCCACCACCUCCUCCACCGGCUCCGGAAGGCGGAUAUACAAAUGAAGCUCUCUACAACAAAAUUUGCUCGGUAGAGACAACUAUGAUGAAGAAUUAUCGUGAGCAAAAGUUUGAGAUGGCUUCAAUCAAAAGACUUUUGGAGAACCUUUCAAAAUCCCAAAACCCGGAAGCAAGUGAUGAAGAAGAGAGUGAAAAGGAUGACGAUGAGGAUAUGGGGAUGUCGGAUAGAGAUUAAGGUGUUUGUUCUAAGUUAAUUCUGUUUUGUUUCUUGUUCUUUCCGUUGUUAUGUUUUUAUUUCUCUUUCAGAUUAUGCCUUUUUGACCAACUUGGUGUUUUAUUAAAACUAUGUAUGUGUUACUGUUUUUGUAUGAGUUUAUGUUCUUUAAAUUAUCAUCAUCAAAUAUAUGUGUGUGCUUUAUUGCUUUCGUCUUUCCCAUCCUUUUUGCCAAUGACAAUGGGGUAUAAGAUGUAUGCUUGGAUGUUGUAUGUUAUCUCUAACAAUGCAACUAGCAAUCUCUUUAAAAAUCCCAAUCUUGGAUCAAGGUGGAGCUUCGAUCAAGGGGGAGCUUUUCAUUUUGUUAGAGAAAUCAAAAUCAGAUCAAAUUGUCAAAUACAUGGUUGUCAUCAUCAAAAAGGGGGAGAAUAUGAAGACAAACUUCUCAAAGUGUUUUGAUGAAGACAUGCUCAAAGUCUAUGCAUUGCAAAAAGAAUGAUUCAAGACUAAAGCUCAAGUGUUUCCUUUCAAAGCAUUUCAAAGUCUUGGAGUUUGCUAUUGAUUCGAUCAAAGUAUUAAUGUAUUAAGUUCUCAUUCUCUCUAUAUAAGUCAAGUGCUCUAGUUUUCAUCAUCCAUUCAUGUGCUAGAUGCUUAGGUCUUUCAAAAGUCUAUCUUAGCAGUCACAUUCAUUUUUACUGCAUUCUGCCACUUUGUUGUAUGGUAAUUGAUUACCAGCUUUGUGUGUUGCUGUGAAAGGCAAGUUUUUCAGCAUGUAAUCGAUUACACCUCUUGUGGUAAUCUAUUACACAGUGUAAUUUUUCAAAUUUUGUAACGUUGGCUCAGGUGUAACCGGUUACACCAUAUUGGGUAAUCGAUUACCACUGAACCAGUGGCAGAAAACAAUGCAUUUUUUCAUGGAAAUAUUCUAUAGAAUAUGUUCUUGAACCAUGGCAUCCUUUCAUAUAUCAUAACCAUUUAGAGAGGUAUCUAGGGGUUAUAUAUACCACUUUUCUGCAGAUUUUAAACUUACCUCCCUUCUCACAAAUAUUUUCAAACAAUCUUCUUCAUUCAUCUUUUCAAAUUUAUUUCAAGUGUUCUUGAUCAAAAUUUUCUAGUGAAACUAUUUACAAAAUUUUCAUAAACAUUCAUAUAGUUUCAUUCAUAUCAUUAGAGCACUUGUUUGUCAUAAAGAAGUUUGAUUACUUUAAAGGAGAAGAUCAAUCAAUAGAUUGAUAGAUUACUUUCACUUGUCAAAAACUUGUAAAAAAUUCAUAUUGUUAGUUUAUCCUUGUUGUCCAGGAUUGUUGGAAACAAGAGGUUCAUUAAAAGGGAGGAUAGUUCUCUUUUUGAACUUAGUGAAAAAUCCAAGAGGAUUGUUCUUGGUGUGAUUGUUAGUGUCUUCUUUGAAAGACUAGGAAUAGUCUUGUAAAAGUCCUAACAAUAGUAAAAUCUCUUUCAUUUUGAAAGGGGACUGAAGUACUCUCGAUCUGUAAGGGGAACCAGGAUAUCUCUUCGUGUUCUUCACCUUUCCUCACUUUACCGUUCAUCGCUUAACAUAACCAGAAAAGAAAGAACAAAGGUUUUCAUAAACCGGAAAAAGUUUCAAAGAUCCUAAUUCACCCCCCCCCCCUUAGGCGCUACUCAACUAACAAAUGUUGUUUCUUUGAUUUUCGAGUUGAAUUGUUGCAUAUGUGUUUGAAAAUUGUUGUUGAGUCUCAUUCAUUCAUGUAUAUCGGAGAUAAGUAGGAUUUCGGUCUGACAAGGUCAAGUGCUCAGAGAGAGCCGAUGACGGUCUCAUUGUUCAGAGAGAACACUGUUCUAGAGAGGAACCAGAGACGUGGAUAAUUAAGUAAAAUAACUAUGACAUCGAAAAACUUGGUACCAUAUGCAUUUUUUGAGGAGGGGUACAUUGUAUCAUACAUUUGCGUUCUGACUGUCGUUAUUGUUGUAUAUGAUUGUGUGGGAAUGUUAUUUGAUGUUACAUGUCAUGAGAAAAUUAUCCUUGUUGUUUAAUACACCGCUAAUAUCUGUAAAGUUAUUCUCACCUCUGUUUGUUUAUUUGUGGUGUUAUGUACUCUCAUGGAGUACAGAUAGUCAAGUAAAGGUGUAGCUGUUGUUGAGCUGGACGAUGGCGUUGUUGGCUUCUUCAUUUAUUUAUUGUUUUUUUUUUGUGUUUUUUAGUUUUGAUAGUGCUUUAAUAUGUAACAUUGGGAUUGGUAUCGUUUCAAUUUUAUUUUAUUUUUCGAUAUAUGUGGGAUUAAUUCCCUUAUGCUUGAGUUGAACUAUUUUAUUGAGAUAUUCAGUUGAACAUGUUUGUGAUUUUUUCAUUGUGUUAUUUGAAAUAAUUUUUUUAAGGAGGUUUUUAUGAACGAGAAUGUGACACCCUUAAGAUUUUAAAUAAUUGGUUCUACGUGGUUUUAUUUAGAUAUGUGUAUUGAGAGUUAGAGUGUUACAUAGUUGGUAUCAGAGCAGGUCGGUCCAUCCGGAAAGGUUUUAUGAUGUUGUUUAUUCCCUAGUAUACUACGAGUGUGUGAACGUUGUCGAUGCAAUGUUUCUUCUAAUAGUUGUUUGCUAUUGUAACAAAGAAGUGGCUGGAAGAAAUGAUCACGCAAUUGUUGAUUCCUAGGCAACUUUGGCUCAGGUUUUGUAAGCUUAACAGAACCCACAGGUUGGAGAUGCUGAAUCAUGUGGGUUGGACAAAUUUUAGAGAAAUAAUCCACCAAACUUCAAAGGGAUGUAUAACCAUGAGGCUGCUCAAGUUUGGUUGCAAGAGAUCGAGAAAAUAUUUUGAAUGAUGGCUUGUGCGGAUGCUCAGAAGGUUCUUUAUGUUACUCACAUGUUGUCAUAGGAAGCAGAGUACUGGUGGGAUAAUGUUAGGCAGAGAUUUAAGGCUAAUGGUAUUGCGUUAACUUGGUCUAUUUUCAGGGGCACAUUCUUGGAAAAAUAUUUCCCAACUGAUGUGCGUAGCAAAAAGAAAAUUGAAUUCCUUGAACUUAACCAAGGGAAUAUGACUGUUGUAAAUUAUGCUGUCAAGUUUGAGGAAUUGUCUAGGUUUUGCCCUCAUUAUAAUGAGGUAGAAGCUGAAGUGUCCAAAUGCAUUAAGUUUGAAAAUGGACUUCGCCCAGAGAUCAAACAGUUUAUUGGGUAUCAGAAAAUUCGUCAGUUCUCCGUACUGGUCAACGAGUGUCAUGCUAGAUUUGCUCACUACAAGAGUAUGAGUGAGAAGAAGCAUGGAUCAUAUUUUUGUUGUUGUGACCAAAAAGGGUUUAGGCAAAAUCCUUUGGUCGUCGAUUGAUAUGUUUCCCUUAUUUUCAUGAGUAUUUAUAAAACUAGAAGAUUAUUUUUAUUGAAUCCUAUUUGAUUACCUUGUUUUUGUAUGAUAAUGUGUGGUUGUACCAUUUAGGCAAAUUUUUCAAUAAUUCUAUUUUGGUGUAUGAAUCGUCUCUAACUGAUAUGUGUUGGUUUUUGAGUGAAAGCCAUAAAAAAAUCAAAAUUGGAAUUUAUGCAAAAGUGUGUUUCUAUUUUUUCAAACUAAAUUGCAUAAUAGUAUGGUCGAGAAUUUUUUAGAAUGACUUAUUCAAAUGCCAUAACAUGAGCAUAAUAAUAUGUUAUUAUUUAAUUAUUAUAAUAAUAAAUUUGUUAUUAUUAUUAUUAUUAUUAAAUUUUAUAUUAUAUUUUAUUAUUUCUUUAUAGUUUACAAAUGAUUGUUAGUUGUGUUGCGUGUUAUUAGUGGUUUUGUAUAUAGUUUGACUAUUUCUGAUUUUAAGUCCGUCAAUGUUGUUUGGUAAAUAUUGUAUCAUUAAUAAUAGUAUCUUCCAUGCCAAUAUGUUUAAACUGCAUUGUAACAUGCAUAGUUAUAUUAUAUGUACUUAAUGCUAGCAUGCAUGGAGGAUUUUAAGUUUAAUUUCAUAGCACUUUAUGAGAAAUUAGGAAUUAAAAUUCAAUUAAACCUUUAAUUAUAGAUAAGUGUAUUAUAAUAGACAAUGGUGGAGCUAGCACCGAUUAUUGUUGAGUUAAUUGAUAAUUAAAAAAACAUAUGUAGAGUUAAAUCCGAUGAGUUUAGAAUUUAAGUGGGAGGUAUUUGACUCCUUAAAAUUGUCUUAAAUUAUAUUAUUAUUUGAGUCUGACCGUCAGUCAAUAGAGUUCAAUUUGAGUUAUUAUCAAUCAUACAAAAAUUGUUAAUCUAAAACCUUAGAGUACUUUGGAUUACUUUAGAGUUAUAUUUGUCUUUGUUUUGAGUAACUCUGACGUGUUUAGAGUUGUUAGAGUUAUUUUCGAAUUGCUUAAAGUUAAACCUGAUGUGCUUUAUUUUAUAAUAAUAAUAAUAAUAAUAAUAAUUUAAUAUCAAUAAUUAUAAUAUUUUAGAGUUGAGAUGAAAAUGUUUAUUAUUUAUAGUUAUUUUAGAGUUGUAGAAAUUAAUAUAAAGUUGUUUAGAGUUCACCUUGAGAACUUUGUUGAGUAAAAGUCAAUAAUUGUUAACCUUUUGAUGAGUUGCGAGUAUAAAAUAAAUUAAUUAUUAUCAUGUUGGUAUGUUUCGAGCUUUUGUUGAACUAAGGUGUAAUUUGGGGUUGUUGAGUAAUAAUAUAACUUUACUCUGAUUAUUUUUAUGUAAUAAUAUAAUUAUUAAAAUUUAAUUAUAUGGAUAUUGUGAGUUGUUGAUGAGUAUUAUUGAGAUAAUAUGUUAAUAAUUUUGCAUUGUUAGAUGAGUAUGUAUGAAUAUUAUAUGAUUUUAUGGUUGAGUUAUAGUUAUAUAAUAUGUUGAGUUGUUGUUCAGAGAGAACCUUGUCCAGAGAGCACUUUGUUCAGAGAGAGUAUUUUUUUAGUACGAGAUGUGAAUGUUGUUUCUUUGAUUUUCAAAUUGAAUUGUUGCAUAUGUGUUUGAAAAUUGUUGUUGGGUCUCAUUCAUUCAUGUAUAUCAGGGAUAGGUAGGACUUUAGUCCGACAAGGUCAAGUGCUCAGAGAGAGCCGAUGACGGUCUCAUUGUUUAGAGAGAACACUAUCCAUAGAGGAAUCAGAGACGUGGAUAAUUCAGUAAAAUAACUCUGACAUCCAAAAAAUUCGUGCCACAUAUUCUUUGAGGAGGGGUACAUUGCAUCAUACGUUUGCAUUCUGACUAUCAUUAUUGUUGUAUAUUAUUGUGUGGGAAUGUUAUUUGAUGUUACCUGCCAUGAGAAAACUAUCCUUGUUGUUUAAUACACUGAUAAUAUCUGUAAAGUUAUUCUCACCUCUGUUUGUUUAUUUGUGGUACUGUGUACUCUCUUGGAGUACAUAUAAUCAAGUAAAGGUGUAGUUGUUGUUGAGUCGGAUGAUGACGUUGUUGGCCUCUUCAUUUAUUUUUUUGCAUUCUUUAGUUUUGAUAGUACUCUGUUAUGUAAUACUGGGAUUUGGAUCGUUUGAAUUUUUAUUUAUUUUCUGAGAUAUGUGGGAUUAAAUCCCUUAUGCUUAUUCAGUUGGACAUGUUUGUGAGUUUUUCGUUGCGUUAUUUGAAAUAAUUUUUUUAUGGAGGUUUUUAUGAAGGAGAAUGUGACACCCUUGAGAUUUUAAAUAAUUGGUUCUACGUGGUUUUAUUUAGAUAUGUGUAUUUAGGGUUAGGGUGUUACAACAUCCGCCAAGAGGACAAACCGAUUCUCGUCGUACACACUACUUAAUAUUUAAAAAAAUAUUACAUGAAUGCUCGAACAUUAAAUUCAAAAAGGAAGGUGUAAGGUAUUCCCACCCCGUGAUAUAAUUUGCACAAACAUAUAGAUUGAAAUUAUGUUGUUUUUGUCGUACCCCAAGUUUUGACCACUAUUUUUUUCUUGUUAUUGACCUAUAAUCUAGGUCAUUGGCAUGCUUAAGGCCCUUUAUAAGACAUCUGGUCAAUCCCAAUGACCUAAAAAGUCAAAGGGAGACCAUUUUGACUUUUUAGUCCCUCCUAGAAAUUUGUUUUAAUUCAGGGAUGUUGAUUGAAACGUAAUAAUUUGGGGAGUUAUGCUAGAGGGAUAUUACCAUUGGUAACUAGGAUAUUUUGUCUUACUAAAACACAUUAGUAAAGACUAAUAAUUAUGGGAGGUUGUUUAUUUUAAUAACAUGAGUAGAAUAAAUUAUAAUAAUGUUAUUAAUUAAAUGGGGAUAGGUUAAUAUUAGUAUUAUUUUUAUAUUAAUAUUAAGUUAUAUUAUGGUUAUUUAGGAAUAGAUUAAUAUCGGGAUUAAUUAGGGUUAAAUUAAUUAAUUAAUUUUUUUAUUAAUCAAAUCAUCAUUAAUUGAAGUAUUAUCUAAUUAGGAUCAUAAUGAGUUUAUUAGAGCAUAAUAUUAAUAUUAAUAUUAUUACUAAUACUAGUUAUUAUUAUUAUAUACUCGCUAAUGCUACUUUAUUUCAAAUGAAUGAAAUAACACAAUUGGUAGAAAAGUAUGUGUAAAAAAUAAUGAGUGGGAGAGAUCAUGAAUUCAAAUUUUACCUUUCUCACUUUUAUAUUAUCUUUUUCUCUUUUAUUUGUUUUUACUUUAUUUCUAACUUUUCUAUUUACUUUUAAAACUACAAAAAAUGACAAAAAUAACAUUUUUUAUUAUUUAAUUAUUAAUUUUCGUAUUUUUAUUUAAAGCAUGUUUUAAAAUAUUAUUUUUCCAUUAAAAUCAUGGUUUUAUGAAUAAAAUCUUAUAAAAUAAAAUCAAAAUAAAAAAAAUAAAAAAAAUAAAAAAAUCAAAAUCUUUUUUUAUUAUCAGGAAAUUAACUUAUUUUUAUUUAUUUAAAAUAUUUUUUUAUCUAAAUUCACCAAGCCAUGAAUUCAUCCAGAUUCAUUGACUUGGACUUUAAGAAAUUGAGAAAAUCAGGUUAAAUUAAAAUAUUCCUAAACAGUUCAAUUUCAUUUAAUUUUUUAACCUAAUUUUACCUAUAAAUAGUAUCCACUUUUCAUCGUCCACAAUUUACAAACUCAAUCCCUAAAAGUUCUUGCUCUUCACACUGAAAACCCUAAAGUCUCUACCAUCAUCACCAAUCUUUUUGAAAAGACAAGAGCAAAAUAAGGGAAAUAACGAAAAGGCCAAAAGCAUGAAGAGCAAGGAUAAAUAAAAGGAGAAUCUUAUCAUCGGGGACAAUCUCCUCCCCGUAGGUUGGUUUUAAAGUAUUAUCUUGUUUGUUGUGGAAUGAAUAUUGAGUUUGUAUUUUCUAUUUAGUGGUUAACUUGACAAUUAACAUUAUUCUAAUCAUAUCAGAAAAUUUCAUAAAGAAAAAUUAUUUUUACAAAUAAUCAAGUUACAUCAUAUUUUAAUAAUUGAUUUAUUCUGUACAUAUCUCCACUAAAAUAAAUAUUAAAAAAAAUGAUAAUAAUUUUGAUUAAAUCAUUUCAAAUAAAAUAACAGUUUAUUUUGAUAAACUUUUUAAAUCUAUUUUAAAUAAAAUAAAAGAAAUAAAAAAACAAUAAUAUUUUAACUCAUGUAUUUAAAAUUUAAAAUAUAAAUAACACAUAAAUAGGUUUUAUUUAAUCAAUUAAUUAAUUUAGUUUUUACUAAAAAUACUAAAAAUAUAAAAAAAAUACUUCUCUAUUCCAUUCAAAAAUAUUUAUUUUCCCUCUAAAUUAAAAAAACAUACAAAAAUAAUCUUUCUUUUAAAGUCAAGAAACAAAACAAAAAUACACAAAAAUAUAUAUAAUUAAAUGUUUAUUCAGGAUUUUUAAUUAGGAUAAGAAUAUAACUAAGAUAAUUAGGCAUAAUUAUGGUUAAACGAGAUUAUUGUAAUUCAUAAGGGAUAUGAUCUUUGAGAUUAUAUAAUUAAACUUUUAAUAUGUUUGUUAAAAUAUCUAUAUAUAUAAUAUCAUUAUGGGUUUACUUUCUUAAAUCAAAAUAGUUAAAAAAAAUUCAAUCAAUCAAAAGGAUAUGUCAUAUAAAUAUAUAAUAUUUAUUUUUCAUAAAUAAAUAAUUUUUUUUUGUAAUCAAUAAUGGAGAUAAUCAUGGGAUAAAUCUCUAAGAAAAUUUUAGGGUUUAAGGGAUAAGGGAUAUAAUACUUGGAUUUAUAUAAUUAUCUUUUAAUUUAUUUUCUUAAAUGAAUUAAUAAUUAUAUUUUUACAAAUAAUCAAAUUGGGAUAAAAUUUAUUUAAACUCACCUCAAACUAUAAGUCCUCUGCCUUAGUGCAUUGAGAUAUUUUUCAAAAUCAAUUACUUGUCCGCCCCCGAUGCGCGAGAACUUUUAAGGGAUAAAAAUAACCAACCAACCAACAUUUUCAAGACGAACUACGGGACUCUGAUCCUUAAAUAAAUUGGAGGGUACAUAGACAUAGAGUUGUAAGACUCUAUCGAGUACAAUAAUCAAAAACAUUUUUAAGUUUUCCUUUCUCAACAAAUUAAUUUACUUUUAAAAUAAUAAAAAAAAUUGUAAAUAAAUAAAUAAUUAAACAAUUAAUAAAUAUUAAAACAAACAUUCCUUAUAAACACACUAAUCCUAGAAUUAAAGGAGGAUCACAUUUAAUACAAUGGAGGUAAGGGGUGCCUAACACCUACCCCUUACUUAACUGACUCCCGAACCCAGUAUAUCACCUUUAGUUAAUAGGUUUUAUCAUUAUUUCCCUGUUCCUUAGGAACGAAUAAAGGAUGGUGGUGACUCUGUCAUUUUUCCAGCCGCGAUAGCUGGCGACUCUGCUAGGGGGUUCUUAUAUUUUCCCUAAAGAGAGUAUGUCCUAACCUUUGGUUUUAGGGUUGUGUGUUCUUUAUUUUCUUGUUUAUUUAUUGUUUAUUUAUUUAUUUAUUGACUCUUUUUAUUUUUUAUAUAUUUUAUUGUAUAUUUCAAUAUUAUAUUAUUAUUCACAUAUCAUAUGGAUGAGAUUGUUACAUAUGCGAAGCCAAAACCCAGGCUUGAGGAAAAAGUAAUAAGAUUAAGUAAGGGGUUGUCCUGUCUCAGCCACCAGGGUUCUCAUCCCGUGGGGUCUUUGAUGACGAUUUCGCUCAUAAUAGAUCAAUUCAAAAGGUUUGUCAUGAGAAGGCCAUCACUUCUUCACGAUAGAACUUUGAGUUCGGUCCAUGACUUUGGGGACCUCUUCUAGAACCCUCUUAACUUGGGGUGACCUUAUGUUAUCAACCUGUAAAGAUCGUUACUAAGGUCCCGCCUAGACGAGACUUAUCCUGAAGGAUUACCGUAGGAAGGCUUGCUCCUUCUCAUGGUAAGACAAGGGUAUAAUCCAUGACUCUAGGACUAUUAUCUUACCCAAAACUGUAUAUCCUACAAGUGAGGGGAUUAGGUAGUCUAAACCUAGAUUUGGUCUAUCAUAAGGAGCCUAUCUUAGCUAGGACAUGUUUGCAUAUUACCUUACCUAUCCUUAAACCUGUUUGGAUUUCCCAUGUCGAUCAUUAUCCAUAUCUAUAUGAAACCUUCUUAAACAAGGAGUCCUUAUAUUCAUCACUAUCUUAAACCCGUAAGGGUUUCCUUUUAUCCGUUACUAUCAUAAUGGAACACUUGCGUUGCAUCUAAAAAAACUUUUAGCAUACCUUUAAAAUUAAAAAUUAAAAAAUAUUAAAAAUAUUUUUGCAUACCCAUGCAUUUUCAUGCAUUUGCAUACAUACACAUACAUUUGCAUACCCUUUCCGCUUUCACCCUAUCCAACUAUCAUCCAGCUAGUAGACUUCCAGAUACUCACGGAUGAACUCAAAGGACGUCUCAAGAAAAUAUAGAGGGACUCAAUAAGUGCAAGUACCAUUGAAGAGAGAAGGUAACCCUUUGCCAUACCAGUCACGACCUACCUAGAGCCUCAAAUACAACCCUGGAUGAUGACCUCCGUAAUAAGGUUUGCAACAAUAUCUACUUCAGCAACAACCUCAUUCACUUCAUCAAUCAUAACAAAUGAAGUUUGGAAGGAAAUUAGAUCCUACACCAAUGUCUCAUGACUUACUCAGAAGUGCCAUAGUAAAUCUACAAUCCCAUGGUCCUUCUCUUCGUCCAUAUCAUCUCAGUUAUAAAGAGAAUGCCCGAUUUGAAUACAAAGUCCAAAACCGGAUCGACGACAAGUCGUUGACUCUUGAAAAAGGAGUCCCCUUGGUGAACAGUCACCUCUUAUCUUUAUAAGUGGAAGAACAUCAAAAAUCAUCCCAUAAAGAUAGUGGAUCAACAAUAAAGCUCAACCCUAGGAUCAAUAGGGUUUAUCAGUUCAAGUUGUAAUUUCUUUUUUGCUAAGUGUUUUUUGUAUUAAAAGUUGUACUCUUUGGGAAAUAAUUUUAAUAAAAUGAGCAUGCAUGUUUUUGAAAUCAACACAUUUGUGUACACUCUCUUUCUUAUGCCAUCAUAAAAAUAAAAAUAAAAAUCAAUCAAAUCUUUUAUUCUCACUUCUCACCUAUUAACAAACUUAUGAGGAGAAUGAUGUAAUAAACAACCGAAUUUGCUGAUGUAUGCUUUAAUAGUAAGACCGAGCUGACAAUGUAAGGCAUUGUUUCAUUUCCCUAAACACUGGAGAAAUAAGGAGAUAAUCCAUAGUCAACCCCCUCGAGCCUGAAGUCGGUGUUCUUUCUAUAAAAAAAAUCUUAAUCUUAAUUAGGGGCAGGAUAGUUUUUCAAUUAAGUCAAUGAUGCAUUCUGAUCUCAAGAGAAUUAUUCCAUCUAAUCACAAGGAUAAUAAGUUCAAGCACAUCUUAUUCCUCGCAUAUAUCAUCUAACAUCGAGGAAGUUGAGAAAGUGCAAAGCUUACAAUAGCUAACAGGACAGUCACAACUUUCAAAAUCAAAAGCAAAAUCAUAAGAGUUGUUUAAAAAAAAGCUCGCUAAGUCAAAAAAAGGGAAACAACCAGAAAUUUGUUGACUUAAGCAAAAGUUAGGGCAUUAUUUUAAAAAAAGCCUGCUAAGUCAAAAACUAAAAAGGACUUAACUUAGGCAAAAGUUAGGGCAUCCCAAUGGACCACAAAUUCAAAAGAAUCGGUCCAUGCAAAAAUAGGGAUUAAAAAGCAAAAAAAUAACAACGAAAACAAGCUUGUAAGUGAAAGUAGGUGACUGCCACCUCAAGAAUCUCAUAAGUGUUUAAUUCAUUACAUCUACCUCCAUCAUUAUCUAUCAAAAUUCUCUUGCAGACUACAUGCAUUUGUUGAGUUAAUUGAAUUUAGGAAUGGAGAACAUUAAGGAGAAGGGGUGGGAUAAAAUUAAAAUUUGAGCCUUAUAUCUUUUGUUUCAUAAACCGUGAACCAGGCCACGUUAUAACAUUUAAAAGUCAUAAUUGAAGUUAGGUUCACUAUGAAAGCAUACUCGGCAAAAUCGUUGUUAAACUGACUCCGAAUGUUUGUUACUAACCAUCUUGUUCUAUCACAUCUUCAUUUGUGUCAACCUCAUGGCUAUAUAUCAUAUGUAUACACCAUAUCCGUUUUCCAUAACAAUUUUCAAUUUCAAAACUUGCAUGAGCAUGAUGUUAGAAUUACUUUUCAAAAAGAACAUUUUUCCCACAAAUCAAUACUUAGCACCAAGGAAAUAUCAACAAUGGUCUGAUCAGGGGCACACCACUUUGAGACAUUCCAGACUAGGGGCAAGUCCCCUAAGGAUCCUUCCAAUUAUGGGGAAAAUCCUUAUGAUCCUAGGGGCACAUAAUCUGAGUAUCCUACAGAACAGAGGCGAAAAUUUUCAAUAUUUGACACACCUAUGUCAAAUAACAUUCAUGACCCUCAUGAUCAGAGACAUACCUUUCAAGACUCUCAUACUGGGGCAUACCAACUCAAGGGCAUAUUAAGGUCAAUCACUCCAAAAAGUCAUCUAAUACGGGGCAUACUUUUCAAAGAGUCAAAUAUUGGGGCAAUUCAUAUAAAGGUCAUAUCGUAGCAUUGUGGUAUCCAAGUUCCUUUUCAGGAAAUACCCUCCAAAUCUCAAUUAAUUUGGGGCAAACUGCAGUAAGGUUUGAUCAAAAGAAACUGCUAAAACGGUUCAUCGGGGGCAUAUCCUUCCAAGGGUCUAUUAGUUAAGGAUGAAUCUCUCCAAGGCUAAUACUACAGUAGGACUAUUAGAAAGGAUGUUCGAUUUGUACUAUGUAUUAUUUGAUCAUGUUCCCAUUUGAUCUUAUCUUCAUUUCCAUUGGCUUCUGAUGAAAGUUAGUGAAACAUGAAAUGAAGAAACAUAAAUCUGGAUUCAGAAACUUCAGAAUCUUUUGUCAGAACCUUGACAGCGUCAGUAUUCUGGCUUGAGAUCUUCAGUAUUUUCAUAAUUGUCAGAGUCUUCAGAAUCUUCAGUCAGAACCUUGAUAACUUUAAUCGUCUGGCUUGAGAUCUUUAGAAUCUUCAUCUCUAUAACACGACUUCAGAAGCUUGUCAUUCUUCAUAAGUUUGAUGGUCAGAGUCACGUCCAGAAGCAUGACUUGAGAGAACAUUGCAACAACAACAUAGUGUCUCCUCAGAAGCUUCUCAGGAGUGAAUCAACACAGAAGCAGAAAGAACAUUGCAACAACAAUAUUGAACAUCUCUCAGAACUUUUAAUAGCUGGCGUAGAAGCAGAUUUGGAACACAUCAUUCAAAAAUCGAUGACGUUGCACAUCAUAUAUUCAGAAUCAGAACUGGCUGUUAAAGCUACACAACAACAAACCAUUAGGGUACCAAAAUUGUUCUCACACAAAUACAAUAUUGUUAUCAUAAAAAAUUAAGGUAUAGAUGAAGAACCAAAUCUUGUUAUAACAGUCACCCUUCCAAAAUGCUAGUUCGCUUAUGCACUGUAAAUAAGUGAGUAAAGAAAAUAAAUCCUUAUUUGACUUUAUACGUAUGCGAUGAUAAUCUAAACUCCAUUGCCUUAAUCUGAUUGUUUCGAAUGAAAGAGAGAGAAUAUCAUGUGAUAAUACUUAAGUACAAGGCCAUAGUUAAAUUUAUAUAAAAAGAGGGAGACUUUAGUUUUGUAUUUUGUGCAAUAUGUGUUCUUAUGAUACCUUUUGAGUCGAACUAGUACGGGAGAAUUAGUAUUUCACCAAACGACCAAGGAUUCACGUAUGAGUAUUGGUAUUCACAUUUUUGUAAGUUUUCACAUGAUGAUAUGCUUGUUAAAAUUAUCUUUAUGCAAGCAAGUUGCUUGAGGAUAAACAACAAUUUAAGUUUGAGGGUGUUUGAUAUGUGGUAUUUACAUCAUGUUUUUACCUUGUUUUUUUUUUCGUUUUUGGUUGUGUGUUUUCUCGUUUUGUUUCUCUUUUAUUCACUUUGGUGUGUUGUUUGUGUUUUCAAGUUAUAAGGAAUGUUUGAGACUAAAUUGAAGUAAAAAGGAUCAAUAAUUACGCAAAAAAAAAGACACAUGGUACAAAAUUCUCGCAACCAACAAUGUUGGGUCCUGUCACCUGACACGGACCAUGUUGGCCCCAACACCAUCUCUCAUGCAUGUGAGAAGAAAAUAACACAAGUAGGUUGUGUUGUCUGACAUAGACUGUGUUUCCCAACACGACACCCCAUGUCAGAUAGCACACCUGUACCAAGCCCAAUUUCCUUUCCAAACUUUUGAAGAUUUAUAAAGUUUUAUGACCUUUGGAGGUUUCAAUUUGUUCUAGUACAAGGCUUAAUGUUAUUUAAGGAUACUUAUGAAAAUUUAGGGUUAUUGAGUGUGAAAAUCAUCUAUAAAUAACAUAGCAUUCCUUAUAGAAGUACCUUACAUUAUCUUAGCUAUUUCCUUAGUUUUAUAUUACAAACAAUUUUACUUUUUGUCAAGUUUCAUUUUCCAUUGCAAGUUGUUAUAGUUUUUCCAUUUGAGAUUUUAUCUAAUUCAAUUACUUAUAUCUUCAAUACAUAUUUUAUCUUCUUUUUAUUGUUAUUGUUAUUAUCACAUUGUUAAUCAUGCCUGUCUUUGUAAUAUUCAUGUUAUAUGUAUUGCAUUUCAUCAUGAGUGAGUAUUUCAUUAGAGACUAAGGAUCAUAAGACUUAUCUCGUGACAUAUCCUAUCUAAAUACCCCAUUGUUCGAUUACAAGAAAUUUGAUUUACAUGUUAUUUUAGACUCUGAGUUUUCUAAAACAUGUACCAUUUAUGAAAGUAAAGGUAACUCAGGUACCGAUUAUACACUAAAAAGGUAUGUUUCGAUACCCGGUAGCAAAUUUAUAAACAAUUGAGUACAAGAUAAGCAAAGUGUCCCAGACACAGUUGAGAAAAUCUCAUUUUCAUAUAUGUGUAAAAAUUGUACUCAGAUGAAUAAUUCAGGCUAGUGAAAGUAAACAAAUUCUUCAUCUUAGACAUGAUAACACACUAACGAAAGUAGGUGUUGUCCAUUUUAUCUAUUUUCUAUAACUUUGUUUGUUUCUCAUAAUAGAAUUGGAGGACCAUUUGAAUAUGUUUAGGAAAUCAUCUUGUACCUCAAAGUCUUGUAUGUUAUUAUAAUGUUUUAUAUGUUAAUUUUAUUUGCAAAAAUUAGAAACACUCAAAUAUAGGAUCACUUUAAUUAUAUACCGAUAAAGUAGAUAUUGGUAACCAAGUUUUACUUGUCAAAAAGUAUGGGUGUGUGUGUUCCUCUGGCAAAGGAAAGGGGACUCACAUGCCUUAGUAGGUAUAUUACAUUGUAUGGUGGUUAGGGUUUGCCCACGGAGGUGAUAAGCCUUAUUUGAUAGUGUUUUACACUAUUUUUAGGAGUCCUCCUCGUGUAAGGUGACAAGUUAUGUGGAUGUUCAAUAUGAUUAGGUAUAAGCUGAUGAGGGGUGUGAUUAGUGUGAGUUAUGAUCAAGUUAAGUGCUAUAAUUUUAGGGUGUAACGAUUUGUCUUCCUCUUCCGAAGGAGGUGUAUUUAUAGAGUCCUUUAAGGCAUAGGGUUCUCUUGGGAAGGGUCCCUGCCCACUAAGUUAUUUAUGGAUCGUUGAAUCCUUAUUUCCAAGGAGGUCAUAGGCCAGUUAAUGAUCCUGACUUCUCUUUUCCCUUGGAACAUCUCUUCCCGCGUUUCCCAUGUUCGGGUGGUAGGGAUACUCUUGGUGGCAAGGCGAUACCUCCCCAUUGGGUGACUUAUUAUCGGAUCUCCUUGGGCGUCCUAUAACCAUCGCCCUAGACAUGACCUUUUAGGAAUAUAACACUACAUAGUCCCUCAAACAUGAAGCAUUUUGAUAUAGGACUAAGUUCUUUUUAGAUCUAGUUUAGAUAGCCUAGGGAGUCUAAGCCCCUCAGGAGAAAUUAUAUUAUGAGACUAUAAGUCCCUCGGGUGAGAUACUUUGACCUAUCGGAUGGGACUUCCAUCGAGCCCUCAAUCAAAACUUGUAAUCAAGUCUCUCGAGCUAAAUAUUUAUCGUGCCUCUCAAGGAUUCUUGAGUCUGGUCCUGCCCGCGGAGAAAACAAGUCCCUCAAAUGGCCUAGGAAGUCUAAGUCUCUCAGGAGGAAUUAUAUGUAACCCGAUUGAUGAAACUAUAAGUCCCUCAAGCAAUGUAUUUUGACUUAUCAGGCAAGACUUUCAUUAAGCACUCAGGCAAGACUUAUGAUCAAGUCUCUCAGGAUGGAUAUCUGUCGCACCUUUCAUGCGUGAUUAUUGAGUUUGGUCCCGCCCACAGAGACCCCAAGUCCCUCAGACGAAAUUUUAGAUAGUAUAAAGAGCCUAAGUUCCCUCAGGAAAAAUUGUAUGUUAAUCGGCUUAUAAGACUAUAAGUCUCUCAGCGAGGUGUUUUUAUAUAUCAGGCGGGAUUUCCAUCGAGCCCUCAGGGAAUACUUGUGGUUAAGUCUCUUAGGCUAGAUAUUUGUCGCACCUCUCAAGCGUGAUUCUUAAGUUUGGUCUCGUUUGUGGAGACACCAAGUCCCAUAUGAGAGAGUUUAAAUAACCUAUAAAGUCUAAGUCCCUUAGGAGAAAUUAUAUGUAACAUGGAUAAUGAGAUUAUACGUCCCUCAUGAAUUGUGUUUUGAUCUAUCAGGCGGGAUUUCCAUCGAGCCCUCAGGCAAGACUUAUGAUCAAGUCUCAUAGGCUCGAUAUUUGUUGUGCCUCUCAAACAUGAUUCUUGAGUCUAGUACACCACAUAGACACUAAGUCCCUUAGGCGAGACUUUAGAUACCCUAGGGAUUCUAAGUCCCUCAGGAGAAACUAUAUGUAACUCGAUUGAUGAGACUAUAAGUCCCUCAGGUGAGGUGUUUGAUAACUUACUUGCAUUACCAUGAGGGGCGGGAAGGACCCUCGUUAUGUGGCCCAACAUAAAACAUUGCCUCAGAGGGAAGUAAGGACCUUAUUUAUGGAGACAUUUCCUCAUAGGGUUGCAAGAACAUUCUUUAUGAAGUCCGGUAUAAAGACAUUGCCACAUGGGGUGACAAUGACCUUUGUUAUGAAGUCCAACAUAAAGAAAUUGCCUUAGAGGGUGACAAAGACCUUUGUUAUCAAUUCCAACAUAAAUACAUUACCUUAGAGUGCGCCAAGAACCUUCAUUUAUGAAGUCCAACAUAAAGAUAUUGCCUCAUAGGGCGGCAAGGACCUCUGUCUAUGAAGUCAAACAUAAAGACAUUAAGGAGAAACAUCUCUCAUGGGAAUAAAUCACUCAAGAAUUAUGCAUAAGUACAUAAUAAAUAUGUUUAUUGGAGAAUUACAAAUAUUUUAAAUGUUAUAAUAUCUAAGACGAAGAGCAUUCUAAGUUCGAGGCAAGAGUGGUCCUUCUAGUUCCUGCAACUUGUAUGCUUCAUGAGGAAGCUUCUGAAAUAUGUGAUACGGUCCCUCCCAGUUGGGUUGUAGUUUUCCUUGUUGUGUGGGUAUAACCACUUCCUUCAAGACCAGGUCAUCUUAUUGCAUUUCUCUUGGCUUGACUCUGAGUUAUAUCUUCUGGUGGCUUUUGUUUUUGGGAGAAAACUCUCAGACGUGGGGGUGUCCCUCAAUUCGUUGAUCAUGUCUCUUGUGCACUUUGAGCCUAUCUCAUUCACUUCUUCAUUGAACUAGGAUCGUUGCCACGAGGGUGUGUCGAUCUCUACAUGAAACAUGGUGUUUGAUCCGUAUACCAUGGAAAACGAGAUUUCCUUGGUGGUGGAAUAUGGAGUGGUGUGGUAUGUCCACAACAUCUCAUGGAGUAGUUUUGUCCAUAAGAAUUUGGCAUCGUUAAGAUUCUUCUAGAGUCCCUUCAUAAUUACUUUGUUUGCUGACUCGGCUUGACCGUUGGCUUGAGGGUGUACCACAAACAAAUUUCAUCUGUAAUCCUAAGUCUUUGCAAAAGUAAAUGACCAUAGCACUGGAAAGUCGGGUCCCAUUGUCGGGCACAAUGGCUCCAGGAAGACCGUAUAUGCACAUAAUUUUCUGUCAGUAGAAACAACGCACUCUUUUUUCCGUGAUUUUGGCUACUACAAUCGACUCAUACUAUCAAGAACUUCAGUUAACCCGACUCUAAGAGGAACAUGAAAAGAAUGUCCACACCCCAUUGGUAGAAGGAUUAAGGCAAACUCAUUGACUGGAGAAGUUAUGUUAGUGAAUGGUGAAGGCCAACAUGUCUCUGGCAUUUACCACACCUCUUGACAAAGGUGAUGUUAUCCUUCAUUAGAGUAGGCCAAUAAUACCCUGCUUUUAAAACUUUAUGACAAGGGAUUUUCUGCCAAUGUGAGUGUUGUAACCCCCCUUGUGCACCUCUGCAAGUACUAGGGCAGUUUUGUGCUCGCCCAAGCAUCGGAACAUGGGAGAAGCCCUCCCCAUUUUGUAAAGUUUCCUAAAGAGCAUGGCGUACUUGGUAGAUUAUUCCCAAAUUCUUCUUUCUUCUCCCUCAUCUAGUGGAAGUUCGUCAUACUGUAGGUAACGUGGUAUGGGCGACAUCCAGCUAGAUUUUUGGACAACUUCCACGGAGUAUACCUUGUCCGCCUUAAUGUUAGGGGAGGUGGGGGUUUCCUGAAUAACUUUUAUGUUGAACCCCAUUGUCUUUGAUGUGGCUAGCUUAGAUAGAAGGUCUUCUCGAAAUUUUUGCUCGCAGGGGACGUUUUCUAUUUCAAAAGAGGUUAAACAUGAGGAUAAAUUAUGUACCUUUGUAGAUAAUUAUCAAUUCUGGCUCCUUGGCUUGGUUCUUCCCAGAGACUUGGUUAGCGACCAUCUGUGAGUCACUUUUGGACUUCAUUCUGAAGGCUCCAAUCUCUAAGACGAGGAUCAUUGUAGCAAUGCGAGUCUCAUACUCCGCCUGGUUAUUGCUUGCAGUGAACUCAUAUUGUAGUGUAUGUUCGAUGAGUAUAUUGUAAGGUCCUUCAGUGACUAUCCCAAUGCCACGUCCUUUUAGGUUAGAGGUGUUAUCCAUAGAUAGCAUUCAUUCUUGAGGCGUCUCCUCUCCUGAGGGCGAGCUGGAUUCUGCCACAAAAUCUUCUAGAGAUUAUGAUUUGAUGUUUCACCUUAGGACGUACUAGAUGUCAUAUUCCAAGAGUUCCAUUGCCCAGAAUACUAUUCUUCACACUAAAUCGGGUUUCUUCAAGACGUGACAAAUAAAAUAGUUGGUUUUUACCAGGAUUUUGUGACCCUGAAAGUAUGUUCUCAGUUUUCUCGCCGCAACAAUGAUUGCUAGCAUCAGUUUCUCAAUCUUCUGAUAGCGCUCUUCGUUGCCCCUGAACACCUUGUUUAUGAAAUAUACAUGUUUUUUUUGCCUUGUCUAUUUCCUAGAUAGGGACUUAGCUCUUUGCCUGAUAUGUGGUCGAGAUAUAGACGAGUAAUGACGACUCAUCUCUUGGGCGAGUUAGGACGGGGGAUGAUCUGAAGAAAAUAUUGACCUUGGUGAAAGCCUCCUCGCAUUUGAGGUCCACUUACACCUAUCAUAUUUCAUUAAGGUGGCAAAGAAGAGGAAAGCUUUGUUGCUUGCGCGGGAGAGGAAAUAAGAUAGGGUGGCGAGGCGACUUGUGAGUGGUUAUAAUUCCUUUACAUUAGUGGGACUCCUCAUUAUGAUGACUGCUUGGAACUUAUCUGGGUUAGCCUCGAUGCCCCUCCAUGUUAGCAUGAAAACCUAGGAAUUCCUUGGCCUAAACCCCGAAAGAGCACUUGGAGGGAUUUAGGCGGAUAUCAUAUUUCCUUAUUGACUAUAGGACAUCCUCAAAGUCUUCUGCGUGGUUGUUCCCUUCAAUAGUCUUAACUAUCAUGUCGUCAAUGUAAACCUCCAGAUUUUGUCCUAUUUGGUGAGCGAAUAGAUCAUUCAUGAGCCACUAGUAGGUGGCGUUGGGGUUCUUGAGGCAGAAAAGCAUGAUAUUGUAGUAGUUGUUGCCAUGAUUUGACAUGAAGGCAGUUUAGGGCGCAUAUAGGGGAUCCAUCUGAAUCUGGUUGUAUCUUAAGUAUGCAUCCAUGAAGUUCAACGUGCAAUACAAUAAUGACUCACCGACGAGGAGAUCGAUGUUUGGAAGCGGGUAUGGGUCUCUAGGACAGGCGAAAUUCAGAUGAGUGAAAUCCACGUGCAUGUGCCACUUGUUGUUAGCCUUCCGUACCAGAACCAUGUUGUCCAUCCAGGUGAAGUAUUUUGUUUGCUUUAUGGAUUUGACGUCAUAUAGUUUUCCCACAUCUUCAUCUAUGGAGGCCCUUUUUUCCUCAUAUAUUUUCCGCUUCCUCUAUUCCACUGGUUUGGCGGGAGGUGGAUGGAAAGGAGAUGACAUACCUCUUUUGUUUAUCCCUGACAUGUUAGAGGGAGCCCAAACGAACAUGUUUACAUUCUUAAUGAGUUGGUUGACUAGUUCAUGUUCCUCCUCUAAGGACAACGAGGUACCUGUCUUCAUAACCUGGUGCGUGUGAGGACCUAUCUAGGCCUCUUUCAAAUCUUUUGUGGGUGUGAGCCUUUAUGAUUUUGUGCCAGUAUGGCAUUCUAACACUCAAAAUGAGUAUUUGGAACUUCAGAAGAAGGGACAUCAACAAGGGAGGGCUCUUCUCUAGUUGUCUCCAGGCUACUUUGGUAGCACUGUCGGGUGGCUUGUUGCUCACAUGUCUUGCAUAUUUCUUUCGGGAGGAUUUGGAACUACCUCCACCGGCAAAAUCUCCGGCUAUGGUGUUUGGGUUGUAAGUUAGUGUUUUAUUGGCCAUCCUUAGUGUGUGGCCCGAGUUAGUUUUACCGAAGCCCCACGGUGGACGCUAUUCUACUGGUCAAAAAGUACAUGUGUGCUUGUUUCUUCUACAUGGGCAGGGGACUCAGAGGUCUUAGUAGGUAUAUUAUGUUGUAUGAUGGUUAAGGUUUGCCCACGGUGGCGAGAAGCCCUGUAUGACGGUGUUUUACGGUCGUUUUAGGAUUCCUACUCAUGUGAGGUGAGAGGCUAUAUGGAUGGUCGAUAUUCUUAGGUAUAAGCUGAUGAAGGGUGUGAUAAGUGUAACUUAUGAUCAAGUUAAGUGUUAUGCUUUUAGGGUGUAAUGAUCUUUCUUCCUCCUCUAAGGGAGGUGUAUUUAUAGAGGCCUUUAAGGCCUAGGGUUCUCUUGGAAAGGGCCACCGUUCACUCAAUCAAUGGUGGAUCAUUGAAUCCCUAUUUUCAAAGAGGUUAUGGAUCAGUUAAUGAUCCUGACUUCUCCCUUCCCUAUGAACGUCUCUUCCCAUGUUUCUCAUGUCUGAGCGGUAGGGAGACUUUGGGGGGCGAGGUGAUACCUCCCCCUUGGGUGACUUAUUAUCGUCUCUCCUUGGGCGUCAUAUAACCAUCACCCUAGAGGAGACCUUAUACGAAUAUAACACUACACAAAAAAUUGGUCUCUAAGGUUCGACAACCUAUUUUACUACUUCACAUUAUCGUACACUUGCGGCGUGUCAGCAUGAACGAACCAUAACCUCAAAUGACUCAAAUUCAAACCAUGUCUUAUUAAGAGCAAACAAACAAUACAUUUUUAUUGAAUGCAUCAUAAUAUAUCAUAACUUUAACAUAUUAAUGAAUUACAUGCAUCACAAGUAAAAGAAAAAUAAAAAAUAAAACAAAAAGCAAGGAGUUGAAAAACUUGUCAUUGUGAGAGAUGUUUGUACUUAGCUUGAAUGAAGAGGAGUAGAAAUUUAUGAAGAUACUAGAUUUAAAUGUACAUGAAUACAACUUCAGAGAAAAGUUGGAACAAUGUGAGAGAUGAAAGCUCAACUUCAACAACACUGAUUUUGUUUUGUUUCAAACGGAAGGGAAAUAAGAGAGAAAGACAGAGCGUGUGUAUUUAAUUGAAAGCGUACAAAUUUCAAAUUCGUGAGGUUUAAUUCAGAGUUUGAAAUUCAUACAUUUCUUUUACUUUGAUUUUAUUGUGGUUCCAAGACUAGAUUUAUUGUGGUGUGUUAGGGUCCAUCCAAAUUCCAAAUCUGCACAUUUUUUACUUAUAUUUGGCGUGUUUUUUUUUUGUGCCUAUGAAUUUCAAAAUCUAAAUUUUAAGGGUAUUUUGAAAUUUUCGCUAUGAGUAACAUAUAGUAUAAUAAAUAAUACUCAAAUUUUAAAUAAGAGUCUAAUUAAAAUCAAAAUAACAGAGUAUGGUAAUUUAAUUUUUGAAUUCAACUAUUUUUUGUUUUAAAUUCAGUCACAAACAUAUGAUAAUGAAUUUGAACCAUUUGAUUUAAAAUAAAUGAGUGAAAUCAUGUGUCAUUUUUAUUCUCAAUCAAUUUUGUCUCUCCUCCAUUAUUAAAAUAAAUGACUUAAAUUAAAAUAUUAUAGUUCUGCCUAUCAAAAUUUUCUCUCUCAUUCAUUUAUUUCAAAUCUAAUGGUUCAAAUUAAUUCUCAUGUUCUCAAAUCUCAUAUAACUCUUCACCACACAUCUGUAUAAGAAAAUCUACCGUUGAAUUGAAAGAUAUAUUUUAUUGAUUAUCUUUAUAAAAUUUAACAUCAAUCGAAAAUCAUAUGAUAUGUUAACGAGAUGCAUAAAAAUUAAUGUCUUACAAAACUACAAAAUCGUUAAUUUUGAUCCUUCAUUUUAAUAUAUCAAACGAUUUUUGAUUGAUGUUAAUAAAUUUCAUUUUAACAAAAUCGUUAUAUAUAAUUUAUUUAUUUUAAAGAUAAAUAAAUAGGAUGUCAUUGAUUCAAACUUGCGGGUCUGCUUUAAUAUCCCUCAGAAUUACCAAUUGAAUUACAACUAACUAUGGAAUUUAAAAGAUUGUAUUACCUCUGUUUUUUAUUAUAAAUUAUUUUGAAGAAAUAUUUUGUACCACAAUAUAAGUCAUUUUAUAGUAUGAAUGAAUCAUUAAUGUUAUUUUUCUUAUUAUAUCCUUAAAUAUUUUUAUAAAAUCCUUCCUAAUUAUAUUUUUUAUACCAUAAUUAUUAUAUUUCUUAAUAUAUUAAAAAAUUAAAAACGAUUUAUAAUAAAAAUGGAGGGAGUAUCUCUUUACUUGAAAAAUAAUAUGUAUAUAUCAAUCAAUACAAUAAAAAAGACAAUAUCAAAUCUGAAUGUACAUAUUUUUCUUGUAAUUUUACUAUUAUAUUGAUUUAUCAAAUCUGAAUCAUCAUAAAAAAAUUUAAUUUAGAAAUCUAUUUAGCAGAAACCUAAAUAAAUUAAUUAAAGAAAUUUACAUUAAUUUUUUUAAAUAAAAUAUAUAAUAAGUGAUUAUUAAUGUAAAGAGACAUUAUAUACUUUUACAUAAAAGCCAUAGAAAUAUAAAAUUAUUUAAAGUUAAAAUUUGAAUUAUCAACAAUGACAACUAUCAUCAAGAGGGUUGAGAGACUUUUGAGAGGGAAAUGCAGGGUGUUUUAAUGUAUUUUUGAGUGUGUUAAAUGAAAAAUAAAUAAAAUAAAUCUAAUACUGUAAUUAAGAUGAAUUAAGAUGAGAGAGAAGAAUAUUGGUGUGAGAUAGAAAAACACCAUGUCUUUCCCUCCCUAGCCACAACCCUUCGACCACCACCACUCACGACUUUUAUUCAAAUUAUUAAAAAUAAGUUUAAUAUUAAAAUACAUUUAUUUUUAAAAUAAUAAGCAACAUAAUUUUUAAAACAAAUAAAGGAAAUAUUAUUUCCAAUCUAUAUCUAUGAAUUUGUUGAAUAUUCACCCAUCUAUUUAGAAAAUGAUAAAUAAUAGUUUAAAUUUUGGAUGGUCUGCUUCCCAAUUAUCUCCCUUUCUCUCACUAUCUAUCUUUUAAUUCACUCUCUUUUCAAUAAUUUUUUUAUUUUAACAAAGAGAGAACAGAAUUAAGAGAAAAAGAGAGAUAGAAAGUUAGGAGAGAGAGAAGGAGAGAAUAGUGAAGAAGAGGAUCCAAUCCCUAGUUUUUAGGUUUAAGGGAUAAAAAAAAUUAAAAAGUAUUUUAAUUCAUCCAUUACAAUCCAAUUCAGAUUAAUAGGCGGUAAUAAGAUUACACACAUGAAGCAGACAAGAUGCUAAUAGUUCAAACUAUUGUGAAUAUUCUCAAAUAGAAAUUUGUCCAAGGAAAUACUAACAGCAUAAAGAUCUUUGGUUAUACAUUAGGUCCAUGCAUUCAUCAGAUUGCAGGAUAUCAAUCCCCAAAUUUAAGGAUUUAAUUCAAAGCAAAUGAAAUUUCUAGUCAAAAAGGCAACACAUAAUUAGUGUCAAAACAUCAGGAUGCACUUCUACUGCUAUUUUUAAUAUCGGUGUCUACUCCGGUCCCGAUCUCGCCCAUAAUCCCUGUCUCGAUCUCUUCCUCUGUCCCUCUCUCUAUUCCGACUGCUUUGUCUCUCCUUCUCGAUUGGCUCUCUGCUUCUCUGCUCUCCAUCAUCACGAUCCCUUCCCCUGUCUCUGCUUUUUUCUGUAGCAUCUCUGUGAAUCCCUGCCAUAGGUGUUAUAAAGAGUAAGUUGGUUAGCAGGUCCAACCAAUUCAGGAUUUCAUACACAAACGUGUUGAUGAUCACAUAUCAGAGUGACAGGAUAACUUGUCUAACAUUUUUUGCAAAUUGGAUAUCUGUACUACUCUGUAGGCAUAACUUGUAGGCAUAACUUGAACCUACGAUCUCUACGUAUUCUUACAUGAGAAUAUAUGGCAAUACCAUAUCUUGUUUUUAGAAUGCGCCAAAACCAACAACCAGUUGAUUUUAGUUUUAUGCAUGGCCAUCAAACUCGAAGGCAAUCAAUCAGUACAUAUAUAAAUAUAUUAAGACAACUAAUAAUUGGUUUUGAAAUAGUAUGCAUGUUUGAAUGUAAAAAGAUGCCAUCAAUCAGUUGCAAAAGAAUGGAAAAAAAAGGAAUGACUAAUAAAAAUAACAAAAGAUAGGAUAACAUGAGAGUAUUUGACAAUGUUAAUUCCUCUAGGGCCAUAAUGAUUACUCAAAAAAGUAUAAUGUAAAAGUAUUUGGGAACAUGUGGGAAAACUGAAAAGGAGGGUGGAACCGUUGAGCUUGACAAGUCCGCAAAGUUGCAGCUUCAGCUUGCUCUGUAACUAAUUUAAAGGUGACAAAUAAUUCCAGGUAUGCAACAUUACCUAGAUCCUCAACCUCCCAACCAGCACGCCCUGAACCAGGAAGCACUCGUGCAGUUUCAGAUUGCUGUGUUUUGGCACGGAAUUUCUUCUUAAGGUUUCCAAAUUCAUCAUACAGCUCACCAUCAUCCUGGUGGUAGGAAAAAAAUCAUAAGCCAGAGUCACUUAAAUAUAUACCUCCUCUGUCCCAUUUAUAUGCAAAAAAACUCAGUUUUUGUCCCAAAUUAAAAGCAAAAAAAAAUCAACUUUUAUUAUAUUUAAUCACUUUGUUCCAAAAAUGUGUCAUUUUCAAUCUGAAAUUAAAUGUAAUGAAAAUUAUUUUUACAAUUUCCCAUUAAACUUAUUCCAAAGAAAAAACAAAAAGUCAUACUCCAAAUUAUUAUGUUUUGGUUUUCUGUUUUCUUUGGUCAAGUGUUUUGGUUUUCUUAAUAAGUGUGAUUUUUUUAAUUAUAAUUUGGGACAUAGGGAGUAUUUAUAUUUAUAGCAUGUAUGGUCUUAAAAUCAAUCUUACUUCAGCCUGCCGCCUACGACGUUUAGUUUCUUCAAUUUCCUCUUCAUCAAGCUCUUUGUAACCUCCAGCUCGCCCUCCUCUGUUCAAUUAGAAAGUAACCUGAGUUAGAAAACAACAACAACCAAGCCUUAUCCCACUAUGUGGGUCGGCUGAGUUAGAAAAGUAAGUUUAAACUGUAUAGGGAGUGAUGUAUCCCCAUAUAUACAGGUUGGUGUUUAGUCCUUUGGUGUCAAGUUUAUUAUUCAUAAUACUUCAUCAUUGUUAUAAUAAUAUUAAGUUUUCACUAUUUAUCUUCUCCUUCUUUUACCCUAACUGCAUGACUUCAACAAAGACUAAGAAAAAUAUAGGUUAAAUCAUUAUGAGAUAUUAAGACUCGAGGUUUAUCAUUGGACUUAAUUUAUGGCAGGACAUUAUAAUGCUGUUUGAUCAAUGUAGCCAACCCAACAGCAUGUAGGUGUGAUUUUCCCCCCUAUCCAAUGUUGAGUUCCUAAUUUGAAACUUUUAGUGCCUCUGGGGAAGAACUAGUUCACAAUUUCCCCUAAACAAAUUGCAAUACAAUUUGAAAAAAGGGGUUUAAGGGGGGAAAACCACACCUACAUGCUGUGAAACAAAUGAAAUGGACAUUUACCGGGAAAAGGAUUGGCUGGCAUUUGAUUGCAACACAUGCUUUAUACUGUGAAAUGAUAUGUCUCAAACCAUCUUUGUUAAUAGUUCGGGGAACAAAUUUUAAGUUACAUUUAUAUUUGAAAAACAUAACAGUGCUGUGGUGCUCUACAAUGAUGAGAUAAGCACAAUGCCAUAAAGCACCACUAACUACUUGCCCAUGGGAAUAGAUAAUAUACAACUUGACUACAACCAUAGCCAUCCAAUCGUGUAAGGUUGCUAAUGGUUAUUCAGUUUUACCCACAAAUAUCAAAUUAUUGAGAUUUUUAACAAAUAGGAAAACAAAAUAAACACAUGCUCCAUUUGACAUCAACAAAAUGUAAUAUUUGUAAUCCUUAGAGGGUCAAAAAAUACAACGCCGCAGAACCACAUGCACGGCGGCAUAUUGAAAAACAAAAAACAUGUUCAAUUAAAAUAUUAAAUGAAUAUGAUGAUUUAUUGUGAAGAAAACACAUAAAAAAUAUGUGUGGAUGAUAUGAGGAUCUUGCAUUGGAUGUGUGGGUAAGACUAGACGUGAUAGAAUUAGAAAUUAUAACAUCAGAGAAAGACUUGCGGUAACACCUAAAGUACAACAGAAAAGAGAUGGUGGAAACUGGAAACUAGAUAUGGUGGUUUGGGCAUGUAGAGAUAAGACUUGUGGAUUAUGCUGUAAGGAGAUUAGACCAGAUGGAGGGUAGUCAAACCGCUAGAGGUAGAAGAAGAAUAUAUGAAACUAUAAACAAAACUAUUGACAUAGAUCUUGAGAUUAAUGAAUUGGAUAAAAGUAUGGUAUUUGAUAGAACAUUAUGGUGUCGUUUGAUCCAUGUAGUUGACUUAGUGGGAUAAAACUUGGUUGUUGUUGUUGUAUGAUAAUUACAUAUGAAUUUAACACACAACAAUAAGACAUAAAAGUGUAUCCUUACUACCUUAAACAGGACUCCCCACUUGGCAUCAAAUAUUGUUUUUCUUAGAAUCACAUGUUAUAUUUCAAUUAUAAUUGAACAGAUAAGAGAGAACCAGCAGCUUCAAAAUAGUCAUUUGGUUCUAUUUUAUCCAAGAACAUCCACGUGUAUAUCUAGGAUACAAACACAACUAAAACUACUGACUUUCUCUUAUAUUUCAAAAAAUAAAUUGUAUGCUUGAGGGUUUUAUGUUUUAAAAUUUGCUUUACGAAUUACAGCUUUUAACUUGUUUAUCAUUUAUUUUUUGAAAUGUAAAGAAAUUGUACGUGUUUUCAUAGACCUGCCAUUCAGAAGUGUCACUAAUAGUACAUACUUGAAGGUAUAUAAAGAAUUAAAUAUAAUACCUUACACCACCCUCGUUGUGGCCAGGCUUAUUUGUAUUGCAAAUAUUGCAUUUUAACCGCUUUGCCCAAUUGAUAUUGCCACACCUAUGCACAAAAAAAAGACAGACAAAUAAGUACAUUAAGAAUUUCAAUUAAAAAAUAAAAAAUCCUGAACAAACCACAUCAUGCAUGUUAAUUCCAAGUUUAAUGUCAGGUAGAAGUAUAAACAGAUGUUAAUUCCAAAUUUAAUUUCAGGUAGAAGUAUAAACAGUCUCAGCCUAACGUUCAGUUGAGUAGAGCAAGACUCAUUCAAAAUGAAUAAAACUAAUGAUGAUAUAACUGACCAUGAGCACAAAUCAUAUAGACAACUUGCAAUCAAAUGCAAAAUCAUAUAGACAACUUGCAAUCAAAUGCAAAAUCAACUGCCACAACCCACAAGGACAGAGGAAAUAGAGGUUAACGACAACGUCAAAGAAGCUAUCAGGCUCACUUCAAGGUCAUCUUACCCCGUGUCAAAGUUCUAAACUAUCAUAUUAUUAACAUACUACGAACACUUAUUCUCUGUAAAUUGUAACAGAUUCAGUAGACCUUAUGUGGCUUUAAGUUUGCAAAGGCCGCUAGAUUUGCACUCAAUCACAUCUCACAUGAGGAUUGCUUCCUUUAAAAUUCAUAGAGAAAUAGAAUAGCAUAAGAAGGAAUGAUAGAUUGGGUUGGGAUGUGCCAAAAUUAAUACUAAAGGCAAAAAGGGUAUGCAAUUUGGCUAAUAUAUAAAAUUUCCUUACAAAAUUAACAAACCUUAUGCAGCAAACCAUGCAAAGUGAAAAAUUAGGAGAUAUAAAUUAAAGAAAACAGGUAGCAUUAACUCCUGUUUGAGCCAUUAACUCCUGUUACACAUGUACAAACACAAAUCUCACCAUCAUAUUCAAUUUACACAUGGUUUAACUGUUCGCCAGCACUUCGUCCAACAUAAUAUAACACUACAGUAACCCAAUUGAUGAGACAAGGCAACGUGUUUAUCAAAUUAUAAGAAAUUUAUACAUGUCAAUUGAUAUCAGUAAAAUAUUGAAAUUUGAAUUAGAAAAACAAAUUUUAAAAUGAAACCAAGUAUAAAUAAACCACAAAAAAAAAGAAUGUGGAGACAAUAUGACAAAAUCGUACAUUGGACAAGACCAGUCAUUGGGACCAAAUAGUCCUGCAGUUGCACCAGCUGGACGGCCAAUACCCCCUGAAUCUUGCCCAGAACGUCCCCUGCCACGGCCACCUCCUCCUGCAACGCCAGAAGCACCAGCAGGGCGUGCACUUCCACAGCGAUUACACGCACCACGAAAAGCAAAAUUCACAUUGGAGCAACUGCAAUGACAAGAAAAAUGUGUUGUUCUUUCUGCACAAAAAAGAAACUACUGCGACUGAAACAGUGCGUAAAAGAGCAAGAAAGAGCUGCUCACCAAUCUCAUAUCACAGACCUUGUAUUCGGACACAUCCAAUCGCCCUCUUGUUGCCAUGGUUUGCUGGAAGCAUCAAUUUGACCUAUACCUCCUCCAUUAACACCAUUAACGUCACUUUCAGUUUCUUCUGGUCCAACAACAUCACCAGCAACAACCGGAUCUGCUAUUGAACUAUAAGUUUGGUCAUCCUUGUUUUUUGACUCAGCUAUAUAAACUCCAAUUGCAUUGCCAUGAAAAUCUUUGUUGUUAAACCAUUCAACAGCAGCCACGGCAGCAUGCGGAUCCUCAUAUGUCACAGUAGCAUCUCCCUUUGGUUCAUUGGUCUCUUUGUCUCGAUAUAACCAUAUUUUAGGUCUUCCUGUACGUUUAUCUUUCUGCAAAACAUGAAUUGUAAAUGAAAAAUGACUGAUAGUUUGGAAAUAGAAGGUGACGCAGAAAAACAGAACCACGUAAAGAGGAAAAGAAAUGCAAUAAAUAAACAAAUCAACCAUUCAGGAAUCCAAAAUAAACCUCUCUUUGCAAGGAAAAUAAAUCAUUCAAGUAAUCACAUCUUACAUAAAAAUGAGUUUCCAAACUGGCCAUGAUAAAGUCCCAAACAUUACCAAAAUGUACUGGUAAUUAUCUUCCUAAAUCAUGAUAAAAUUUCAUUUCUUAAAAAAAUAAAAGUUGGACAAUAACAAAGCAUCAUUUCAAAGGAUAGCUGCAGGCUCAAUACCUUUAUUACUCCAAUGGUACCAAAAUAUUCAGCCAACAUAUUAUCAUCAGUCCCAUGAGGCAGGUUGCAUACAUAGAUAGACCCAUUAGAAGGAGCAAAUUUUCCAGGAAUGCUAGCCAUGGAAUCUCAAUCUCAUGAAAUAAAAAGCAACGAGAACCAGCACAGAGCUCUGAAAAAACAAACAAUACACAUCAUUUCUUUUAAACAUGUAAAAACUAAAAACAGCAUCGCAAAAGAAGCAAGGUUGUUAAUUUCAUAUCUCAAAAAAUAGUGAUUUGAUCAAAUUCCGCUACGCAACAGUGAUACUAUAACUGCUGUUUGACAACAUUUGGUACUAAAUAGCAUGCGGCUACGACGUGUGCUAUAGCUGCUAUUUACCAACAGUGACUAACACUACUAGAUAGGCAUGCAAAUGCACACGAAAAAUGUGAAGACGGAAAAUUUAUAUCAGCAAACACCCACUCUAAGGAUAAAACAUAACACAAUGAUUAUCACAUCCCUGCGCAAGUUUCUCCUUGACGUUCCACAACAAAAGCAAACAUUCACACACCAUACAUAUUGCUUAUAUAACCAUUAGAUGAAAUCCAUACAUAUCCUCCUCUCAAACACAAUUCUUACAGAGUGUAGAGCUAGAACAUCUCAUCGAAGGAUUUAUUUUUCACCAGAGACUUCCUACUACUGAGUAUCUCCAUGCACAAAUCCUUGUUUGCAGACCUAGCAUGCUUCCAGUAGGGCCCUAUUUGUAUAAACAACUUAAUUAAGCACUUAUGCUAGCAUAAGCACUUAUGUACAAGUCAUUUUUAUAACAAAGGACUUAUGUGGGUAAAUAAACUCAAAUAAACCAAUCUAGGUUAACCUCAUUGAAAAAACUUAGAUAGUUAUUAAAUGGAUGAAUGGAUGCAAAUCAUAAGAGAAACACUCACAAGGUAAUAUCACAUAUAUCAGUGCCAUUCAAUAGUUAAAAAUCGAGUAUGCGGAAACUGAAAAUAUCAUAGGUUAGAGUAUGAAUUGCGGUAAUUUGCGAAACUAAUUGUUGUAUGGUAAUGCAAUCGGAGAUGAAGUAAAUCGGCGAUUUGUGAAAUGGACGUUAUGUUUCGAUGAAAUAAACAAAAUGAAUACUGUAAUUCAAAUAUUAAUGGCGAAUCGAACGAAGAAAUGAAGAGAGAUGAAGAAGAAAGAAGAGUUCACCGGAAUCGAAGCGGCGCGUGACGGGGAGAAGCACGCGCUUUGCUAUGUUCUUCUCCGAUGGAUAGAUCUGCGAUUUAUCGCUCCGUCUACAGUCUCUGCUCUAUUCCUCCACCUCUUUGAUAAUCCUUAAUUCCUCUUCGAUUUUUUUAUUCGCGUUCCUUUUUAUUUCGCGUGUAACUAGUUGUCUCUACGGCCGUUCUCGUAAAAGUUUUACUUUCACCGCAUUUUCUUUUUAUUUAUUUAAGGCUUAAAACAACAUUUUAAUUUUUUUUUAACUACAUUUGGAUUAAAUGAAGUAAAGGUGUCUCGAAAGGGAUUACUUUGUAAAUAUUUUACAAAAAUAACUCAUUUUUUAAGGAAAUUUCCAAAAUAUCCUUGGUUUCAAAAAAAUUCUCAAACUACCCCACUUUUAGGAGGAGUCGCCAAUUGAAUUGGAGACUUCUCUUAAAACUUGAAUGGAGGCGCAAAUUGGAUUGGCUAGGGCAGGUGUCCUAGCCAAUCCAAUUGGCGCCCCUGUGUAGGGUUUAAGAGAAGUCACCAAUUCAAUUGGAGACUCCUCCUAAAAUGCAAUUUUUUUUAUAAAUGGUAUACGUGAUAAAUAAAUUUGAUAUAGGACCACUAUAUAUUAAUAAAAUUUGUCGUUUACACAAAGAAACCUAAUGGUGAUGAUCGGGAUCACCUAACCGACCUCCGAUCCCACAUCCUCUAGCUACCCUAACUCAUGGUCCUAAUCCACGUUGACGAUUUUGUAUCGAUGUUUGAGCAUCUAAGGGGCCAGGAGCGUCACUACCAACUACAGGAGAAGGUCUAUUGAGGUAGUCAGACAAUUCGACAUAGUCUUCAGUAUGCAUCGAUGGUGUACCGUCGUAGCUGAGUUCAUGACUCAUGCCAGAGAAGUUGGGAUGUGGUUGACUCAUUGAUGGGCGAUCGGGACGGUUGAAGGGAGACAUGGGUGUGAACGAUGCGUCAAGGAAAGGUUGAAAAGGUUGUUAGGGUGUUUGGUAGAGAUAGGGUUGUUGGAUGUUUUGGUUUUGUGAUGUUUUGGCUUCUUGGCUACGGUAGGAGAAGGGGCGGUUGGUGUUGAAUGAUCGUUGGGUGUUCUGGCUUAGGUGACUUUGGUAGGGUGAUGGGGUGGGUGCGAAGCGAUGUUGAGUCUCAGGUUGAUGGUCAAUUUGUUGCUGGUGGUAUGGGGUAUGCUCUUGGUAUUGAGGUUGGGUGUAUGGAAUGUUUUGGUUGUAUGUUUGUGUGUUGGUUGAACGGAACGUUUGACGGGCAGGGGGUUGUGUGUAUCCGGUCUGACACUGUUGUUGGGGGUUUGAUGUUGAGGUGUCAGGUGUGUAAGUCAUCUGGCGUGGGUCGUACAAGUACAUAUCCUCGGCGAUGAACUGAAAACCAUGUACCAAGCCAUAUAAAGUCGACUUGGUUUUUUCUUCAGUUGGCAUGACUGACACAUGGUCAUGACGGUGCUUCCAUUUGCGACACUCCGAUCUUGCGAAGCUUUGCCAUGGAUUGAAGUUCCAUUGGUCGUUAACUUUACGCAGAUGCCAUUCUCCUAGGCUAGCUAGGGGAUCUGGGAUAUUUUGGAGCAUACCGAACUGCAGCUUCACACGAUCACUAUUGUGCAUCUCCAUAGUUGUGAACCGCAUUAUCGGUGUGCAUAUAGUCCAUACGGCCGCGUCUUCAGCGUUAACCUCAUGGUCAUGAUCCAAAUUAAGGUAUGAACGCCAAAUGAACUGAAAUGCGAAAGAAGAUAUGAUUAUAGUCAAUGUAGAAGAAGUUAACAAAAUAUAACGAAAUAAUUAAGUUAUUUUCCUUACGUUUGUCGGUCGAAGGUGAUCCAACAGGUUGCGAUACUGAGUAAUACAGUGUCUUGGACAUCUGUUAUAACUCAUACCACGUGCAGACCAUCUACACCAAAAAGUCAAAAAAUAUUAGUUAGAGGUAAUAAACUUUAAAGAAGUAAGUAAAGAUAUAACAAUUUAAACAACUUACUUUUGUGCAUACGGAAAUGUGAAAGGGUUGUUAUUGACGGGUGCUAGAGACGGCAGUCUUGACCAACCCCAUGCUUGUAGCAAAACAGCACAUCUAGAAAAUGUAUAUGUGUCUUUGUGUGAGAUUUUGCACAAGAAGCUAUAGAGAUAGGCUAGACAAGCAGAUCCCCAACUGUAACUUCCUAUUCUAUCUACAUGUCUAAGUAAAGGUAAAUACAUAAUAUGCAUGCUAGAACCACUACCUUCGGGAAAAUAACUUCCUAUUCUAUCUACAUGUCUAAGUAAAGGUAAAUACAUAAUAUGCAUGCUAGAACCACUACCUUCGGGAAAUAAAAACGAGCCAAUUAACAGCAUAAUGUAACACCUAGUUUUUAUUAUUCGGGCAUCUUCGAUAGAAUGCUAAUCUAAGUAUAAACUAUUAUAGUACGACUUAAGGCGUGAGAGUAGUAUACCUUGACCUCUUGCAUUAUCAUCUAACAAAUCAGUCUCCAAGAGCUCCAUGCAAAUUGAAUUUGCAUAGUUGGUUUUACCAUUAACAGCCCUACCUUCAAUGGGUAGUCCCAAAAGCAUGUAGACGUCUUCUAACGUCACGGUACACUCACCGGUUGGGAACCAAAAUGUGUGUGUCUCUGGUCUCCAUCUUUCGCGUAAAGCUAGAAUGAAUUUGUUAUUUAUGGACCGAGACAAAAUCUUGCUUAUAUGACCAAAACCGGUGAGUUCAACAUAAGGUCGAAUCAUCGGGUCCAUAUGGACAUAUUCGUGGACCCGAGUUCGGAACCUUGAUACAUCCUAUAAAAGAAAGAAUAAAAAACUUGACUAAGUUGGUAUGUUAAAAUAAAAGUAGGUUGGUGAAGAUGAAAGAUAAAAAGUUAAUAAAAGGAAAAACUUACAUAUGUUGCAAUGUUUGCAACCGUUCCUUUAUGUGAUUCGCCCAUUGUGAGGAUAGACAUUUUGUCGGGGGGUUGGUGUAGAUGAAACUACAAGAAGUUGUUGCAAAUGAAAUUGUAGAAGAAGUAGUGAGAGUGAUGGUGUGGAAGAAGUGUUGCUGGAGUGGAUGUAUUUAUAGGAAAAUGGAUGGGAGCAUGAAAAGUUGUGUUUGCAUGGUGUCUCCACUUGAAUUGGCGACCAUGUACAACCUUUAAGAGGGAUCGUCAUUCAAGUUGGCGCCUCCAUAGGGACAUGCAUGCAAGACCUAGGUCUGAUUGCUUGGUUCCAAGGUCUGAAUGCAUGGCGUCUCCACUUGAAUUGGCGCCCAUGUGCAAGGAAUGAGUGGGGGCGCCAAUUCAUUUGGAGUGUGUGUCUGCAUGUCUGACACAUGGUUGUCUUGUCUCUUGCAUGAUGAACAUGUCACUUCUUAGUAGCUUGCAUGGUUGACACAUCAUUUCGGAGUAGCUUACAUGUGCGACACGUCAUUUUGGAGUAGCUUGCAUGUGUGACACGUCACUUCGAACUAGCUAGCAUGUGAGACACUUCACUCCUCUAUUUAAGUGUCUUACUAUCAACAUCUAAGACACUUCACUCACAUUCAUCUGCAGUAAGAAAAUAGUUUUCAUCUGUAGAAUGUCAUCUUCAUCAUUAUACAGUGUCAACGUUCACUGCAACGGUGAAACAUACGAGUCUGAGCUAUAUAGUUUUUGUUUUCGAAACACCGAUACCAUUAGACUCACGAUCAAGAGAAACGCAACCUUCUUGCAUUUGAAAAAAAGAAUACAAUCCUGUAUAGGAUCGGGUAUUGUGUCAAAGAUCACAUAUCAAAAAAUACCAUUAGACUCACGAUCAAGAGAAACGCAACCUUCUUGCAUUUGAAAAAAAGAAUACAAUCCUGUAUAGGAUCGGGUAUUGUGUCAAAGAUCACAUAUCAAAAUCCAAUAUUUUUUUAGAAUAGGCAAUGCAAGUAUUUCCCCAUUAAGGUACGAGAUGAUGAAGAUGUUGAAUACAUGUUUGUUAGUCAUGAACAUUCAGGCUUCAACUGUAUUGAGUUAUACAUUACUCUUCAACCAUGUAUACCAUCUCAACAGUCUCAACUAACCGGUCAGGAUGAAUCUGGUGAAGAUGAUCCACAAUGAUAAGAUGAACUCAACCCAGAAGCAGAAGCAGAAGUGGACGUCGUUGAUGAAGAAGAAGAGGAGACCGAGAUACAGGUUGAUCACAUGCUGAACAACAACGAUGAAGAUGAUUAUCAACCACCACCAACACCUCCUAGUCAUGUCUACAAUCCGCCUCAACAUAUGACAAAUAUGGAUCUUCACGACGAUGAAACAUCCAACAGUGUUUUCUAUAAUCCGUAUCCGAGAUCAGAAGGAGAAUUAAAGGCGGGAGACAUGUUUCGUACCAAAGAAGAAUGUGUUUUGGCUAUCAAAAUAUUCCACAUGAACAACUCUGCUGACUUUACAGUGAAACGCACUGAUUCUAGAAGGUAUGUUAUCGAAUGUCGUAACAUGCUUUGUAAGUUUCGUUUGGUUGCGUCUUAUAAGAAGAAAAACGACUCUUGGGAGAUCGCUUCAAUAGACCCACCUCACAGUUGCAUUGCAACUAACGUUGAACAAGAUCACCAUAAACUAAGCGCAGCGUUGAUAUGUCAAGACAUUCUACCGUUGGUUAAUAAAGACCCAUCAGUGAAGGUGAGUAUAAUUAUAUCCCAUAUCAGAUCAACAUAUAAUUAUACUCCAUCUUACAAGAAAGCCUGGAUUGCAAGGACAAAGGUUGUUGAACAAGUUUUCGGCAACUGGGAGGAUUCAUACAAGGAAUUGCCACGGUUUUUAUGGGCCUAAAACAUAUGUCCCAAGAACUGUGGCAAUUAUGGAGACAUUGUCAGUUAUGAUGCCAGACGGAACCUGUGCUACAGGUAAUAGAAUCUUUCACGUCUCUUUUGGGCAUUUGACCCGUGCAUCAAAGGUUUCGCAUUCUGCAAACCUAUUAUUCAACUGAUGGCCUUGGUUUACGGAAAACACAGGUAUUUUGCUCAUGGUGGUUGCACAAGAUGGAAACAAAUGUCUUUCCCAUUGCCUUUGCUCUUUGUUGAAGGUGAAACGAGCUGGUGGAUAGGGUUUCUUUCUAUCGACAUCUCAGAACGCAUGUGGCUCCACAAGCCAAUCUCUGUUUGAUUUCUGAUAGUACAUGCUGCAUUGAGAGUGCUACAACAACCAUGACAAUGGAUGGCCAUGAUCCUCCUUCUACCCAUGUCUAUUGUAUCAGACACAUUUGCACAAAACUUCACGCGUGCUAUAAAGAUUUAAGAAUUUUCGAGAAGGAGUGGUGAAUGAUGGGUUAGCUCUAACUUCAUGUCUGUCAGUUUCAAUAAUUUCGUGAAUGAAAUUAGAACUGUCUAAUGAAGACGCAGGGAGAUGGCUAAAUAACAUACCAGUAGAGCAGUGGACAAGGGCAUUUGACAGAGGUUGUCGAUGGGGCCACAUGACAACAAACAUUGUGGAAUGCAUGAACGGAGUAUUCAAAGGAAUUCGAAAUCUGCCGAUAACCGCCUUGGUAAGAUCAACCUAUUAUAGGUUGGAUUCUAUGUUCGCAACCAGAGGUGAAAGAUGGAGUGCGGUGUUAAUGUCCGAGCAAGUAUUCAACGAGUGUUGCAUGAAGGUCAUGAAAGAGGAUAACAUCAAAGCUAGCACACACGCUGUCACAGUCUUUGACCGUCAUAGGCAAAAUUUCAGCGUCCAGGAAACAAUGGACCACAACGAGGGGAGACCAAAUUUAGCAUACGUUGUUAGACUAAACACAAGUUGGUGCGAUUGUGGAAAAUUCCAGGCCUUCCGUAUACCUUGCUCCCAUGUCAUUGCAGCAUGCGCUUAUACUCGUCAAGAUGCUUACAACCAUUUAUCUGAUGUAUACAAGGCCAACACUAUCAUGAAUGUAUAUAAUCAAAGCUUAUCAGUACUACCAAUGGAGGAUUACUGGCCUCCAUAUGAAGGUGAUAUUGUUUGGCACAAUGACGAGAUACGUAGAAAGAAGAAAGGAAGGCCAAACAACACACGUAUCAGAACAGAGAUGGAUUCCACAGAUAAAAUGAUAAGAUUAUGUAGUAUCUGUCGUCAACCAGGACACAACAAGAACAAUUGUCCCAAUCGAGGGGCAGCAUCUAGGUCUUAAGCUUUUUGUAACAUUGUAUUUCUGUAACCUUCAAUCAUUAUAUAUCAUUAAGUUUUUGUUACAACGAGGUUCACAACAAACAUCAGUACAAAAUAAGCUAUCUAAAAACAUAAAUAUUUCUAACUAAUUACAACAAUCAAAUUGAUGUCGUCUCGAUCAAACAUCAUUUUCCUAGCAUCCUUAUCAGUCUUCAUUCGCACCCAACCAAAGAUACUGUCAAGUCUCUCAAUACUUCUAAUUUUUUCCCUUCUGGUAUUUUCCCAUCUAACCAACGAACCAGCUCCCGCUUUAGUUGAUCGAACAUAGUGAUGUUCCAGAACAACAUCAACAUCUGAGGUUCGUCUCUCGCAUAAAUCACCUUACCGUAUCGGCGACGAACACCAAACAUGAUUGCCAAAUGAUUGUGUGAAAUGUAGAACAUUUACUCACACAACGCAUUUAUUUAUAACACAAAAAUUGUCAAGUCUCUCAAUACUUCUAAUUUACUCACACAACGUGGCAUGAUAGAAUGGUCAUUGGUAUAAAUUUGAAUCAGCAUAUAUAAUUAAAAACUGAUACAUUGUUCAAAUUGCGAGGAUCUUCCUUUCGGGGGUUAAAAAUCCUCAAAAAUAAAAUAUACAUAGUUUAAACAAUGUAACUAUUUUUAACUACAUAUAUUGACAUAUAUUUGUACAAAUGAUCUUGUUGUCACGCUACAUCACCACAACUUAAUGUUUUUUGCCAUAAAUUGACGGAAUUGACCAAAUAGGACAGCAUAAGUGAAGUUAAGGGACUAACAUCUAAUAUUUUUUAGUUAAUUGACUAAAGCGGGACAUUAAAUUAAUUUAAGAGAUUUGGUAACAAAUUAUGCCUAUAGUGUAUCGCGGUAAAAAGUCACCAAAGUCUUUAGAUUUUAGAGAUAUAUUUUCGAACACACCUAAAUUACAUAUUCUCAACAUUUGAGUAACUGAGUCACCCAUAUUUUGUUCAAAAAUGUGUUCAGAGAUGUAUCUCUGAAUCACCAUUAAUUCAAAACACUGAGUUUUACGCUCAGUGAGUUUUACGGAGAUGCAUCUCCAGAUGGGUUUUAAUUCAUAUACCUCACGCCUGAAUUUUUCCCUUUCCUUCUUCAUUUGUUACAUUCUCACAAAUUCUUUAAAGAGUUUUGAGCAAGAUUUAAGCCUUCUUCAUUUGUUACAUUUUUACAAAUUCUUUAAAGAGCUUUGAGCAAGAUUUAAGUGUGCAAUUUUUCAAGCUUCAACGCUACUUCAACUACAUUGUAGUCAAUAUUUCAUUCACUUCAUUCAAGCUUUCGUAUAAUAUCUAUCUAUCAGUAUGUUUCUCAUUUUCUUUCUAUUUAUGAGUUGUGAUCCAUGUAUUAGGUAAACUAGGUUGUUUAAAAUUUAUUAGUUUAUAGUUACAUUCAAAACAUGUACUUUGUUUAGACUUGCAUACAAAUAUUUUGGUGUUUAGGACAUUAUAUAUAUUUUCUGGAAUUUUGCUAUCGCACAUUUUUACAGAGAUACAUCUCUGGAUUUUUCUAGAUUUUUUUGCUUUUUCUAUUUUAUGGAGAUGCAUCUCUAGAUAUUUCUAGAUUAUGUUUUUCUAUUUUACAAAGAUGCAUCUUCGAAUUAUACUUGCAUUAAUUUUGAUAUUAUUUUCUAUUUUGUCUUACAUGGACAAGUGUUGAAAACUAUGAGAGAUUAAGGCACGAUCGUGUAUUUUAACAUGUUUUUGUUCAUAUGGAAAGGGCAAUAUGCUCGAGCCCACGAGUUAGUGCUAGUUUUUUUGACACAUAGGUGUCGACGUCACAUGGUCGCAUGUCUCUGACUUCAUAAGGGUGCGUGUCUCAGACUUCGACCUUCUGAGGGCACGUGUCUCUUGUUGACCCUCUAGUUUAUGAAGCCAUAUAGCCCAAUUAUUGGCUCCUAAUUUCGACGCCCAUUUCAGAAUUAAAAAAUGGAGUUCCUUGUGAAAAUGUUUCAACUGAAUCUGAUAUUGGGAGCUCUAAUUGAAGAUGCCUUAAAGAGAGGAUCAAGAUGUUGCAGGGACUUAGAAAGAAUUUUUAUUGUUUGAAGACAGUAAAUUGAGAAAUGUACGUUCAAUUUACACCAUUGUCAUUUACUUUGAAGUAAUUAAAUUCAUCUUUAUUUUCCAGAAAUAUUUCUCUGUUUUAAGGAUUUAUCUUUGUUUCCACUUAUCUUCGUUCUUACAACAUUCUCUUUAUUUUGUGUUGGUUGUAAGACCCCAAUUUUGACCCUAAGAUCCCUCAUGGCAUCAUAACAUUGCAUUUGCAUAGCCUCAAGGAUCAUGAGCAUCUUGGUUCCCUUUGCCUUUGGGUGGGACUCUUCGUGAUUGGUUUGAGAUCACCAAGCAUGCUUGAAUUAUACAUCAUUGUUUCUCUUACUUUUGUUUACUAAAAAAAAGAAAGAAAAAAAAAGAAUAAAAAAAAAGAAGAAAAACGAAAAAUAAAUAAAUAAAUAAAUAAAAUAUAACAAAAAAAAUUUUGGACUUGGGCCUCUCUCAUUUGAGCCCACAUGUCCACAAAAACCAGGUUAUAAAUUCAGAGUUUCAGUGAAACAAAAGGACAUUUCAUUCCUAUUACCCUGGCAGGAAAAAGAAAGUGAGAGAAGAGCUAACAUAGUUCAGAGCAACCUCCAGAGGCUGAAGGGAACUCAUCAGCAAAGAACCAAUUCCCUCUCGUAUAAACCCUCAGAUUGCUCUGCAAACCCAACGGUGCAAUUCAAUUUCAUUCGAUCUCUCCAAUCAGGUUUGCCCUAUAUCCAUCAUCUUUAUGCCUUCAUUGAUUUUAACAUGAAUAUUAUGAGGUAUUAUGCGUGAAUAUGUAUACCUUUUGAUGCAUGUGUUGACAGAGAGUUUAGGCCUCGCUCCUGGUUGCUUCUUGUCGAAAGCUAUUUUGUAAGAUAUUUAAAUGAUGAUCAUGUGGUUACAUUUGAUUGGGGGCAACUCUUGAUUAUCUCUAUCAUUGUUUCUCUAACUGUGUGAGUUUUUUUUUUGAGGGCUCGCAGCUCUGGCAGAGUAUGCCUGGUGUUCCACUUUAUUGUGGGAUACCACUUGGAUUUAUUCGACAUACCUGUGCUUAAUGGCUUGAGAUAGUUGUUUGUGAUUGCUUAUUCCAAAGGAUGGAGCUACUUGGAUCAUCAAUGAUUAGAUCUCAAGAGGGAACUCCUACUUGGUUUUUAUUCGUUUACCCUUACUGCUCUUGUAUGUUUAGGAAUUUAACCUUCUUCUUUCUUUUCUCCCCUUCUACCCAAGCCAAAACUUUUUGUGCAACAAUACUUUAAUUUUCACAAUUGUAGAACCUAAGUCUUAUGCUUUUAUUUUGCAAACUUAUUUUCUAACACAUUAGUUUGAGGAUUGAACUUUAUAUCACCUUUAACCAAUAUUACUUUGUAAAUACUCGUUAAUUGGUAAUAUAAAAACCCCACAUUCAAAUACUUUUUGUGGAUUCAACUGUCACCGUUCUUACAUAAACCUUUUUUAUAAGACCAUUAGCUAUUAGGUUUGAGUAUCCUGAGUAGAUAUACAUACUCACCUUAUCCCUAUGGACGAUACAAAAUGAAGUCUUCCAUGCUUUUUAUAGCGGUAUAACCCUCUAGCGAUAUAGCGUGUCUGAGCUAUCAGUCCAUGGUUAGAUUGUGGGGUUUCUAGUUGUGUGUUUGCUCCCUCUUAGCGGUACAAAAGGGACCUGUAAGUUUUUUGGACCAUUCAAUUCACCACUUUUUUUUUGAUUUUUUUAUCCCGAGUACGGAGCGUUCUUGCUCCUAAUCUUUUUUUAAAGAUGGUACGUACGGCAAUAGCGGCUUCAUUCCAUUCACACAGCAAAAUGUAAAUACAGAUUGUAUAUUCUUUUCUCCACCCCUUCAAAGUUUCACUGUUUGCAACAAAUAAAAUUUUCACAAAAAAACAACAACGCGAACACGCUUGUAGCGCACAAAUGUGAAAGGGCUCCCUAGGAAGUACCUAGGGUGCUUUGAGGAUGACCUAACACCUUCAUUGCAUAAUCAACCCCUUCCCAGAUCUCUGACACUUCUUUCAAGUUUUUAUUCGAUAAACUUUUAUGCGAUUGUUGUCGCUUUCUACCCUUCCUUUCGAUAAUACGAAGCGCGGUGGCGACAUCGACUUGUAUGACUUUACCUUGAUUAGUCAUAUCUCUAAUGGUAACGAGAUACCCCACUCCAGAAAAGUGGCGACUCUGCUCAGCGGGAUGAAAUAUCUCUUAGUGGGGUUUCCCCCCUACUUUUCAUCAUUUGUUGCUAUUGUAUUGUAUAUUUUUUUUGUGACAUAUUUUUGUGCAAUUUGGGAUUACUGUAUUGUAUGUAAUGAUUGAAUUGUUUGAAUAUUAAUUCCUUGUAUGCUUGGUGAUCUUCGUGAGAUGAGUUUUAUACCCGGACUCGAGUGCACUUAGGAUAGGAGAAUGGCAUAGUCUUGUCGACUUGUGUGGAGUUAUUCCUUAGCAAGUUGAUUUGCAAGUCCAUUCACUUGGUGGAGGUUAUGUUGGGAUCAAUAAUGUCACACAAGUAAGUUGUGGUUAGACAUUACUUUUUCAAUAUAGACCUUAGAAGCCAAGGACCUUAGUUUACCAAACCCAUCUUGACCUAUGCUUAGGAUGUAGUACGAAGGUCGUUCAAGUGUAAGAUUUGAUACGAUUGUUACGCGAUACUACACUCAUAAGAGUCUCUCUUGAGAAUAUUUUUGGAUUACGAGUAGUCGUUUCUCCGAUAAUAUCCAAAAGAUGGGAUGAUGACUAUGGGAACCUCUUGUAGAACAUGUUUGACAAAUUUAAACCUUAGUACACUCCCUUUUGGGUGGUUCUUAACCUAAACUCCAGGCUCGUGACUUGCAACAAACCCUUGAUUCAUGGUUGAUCCGUUCAGGUAUCCUUAAUACAAAUGGAACUUGGGUGUUGAUAAGGUGUAAACCAUAAUCCACCAAAAUGGAUGAUUGAUAUUAAGGAUAACAUGAUCCAUCCCAUGACCUUUGUUUGGUGUGCUUUGCUUGAUCCUUGAGUGUGAUUGUUGCAUUCAUGCACCCAUUUGCAUUCAUAUCAUAAAUAAUAAGAAAAUUUUCAAGGAACUUAAGAGGUCUAUUUGCAAAAUUUUCAGACAUGGAAAGACAAAGAAGGAAUACAAAGAAGUAUAGCUUCAGGCAACCAGAUUUGAAAGAGUUAAGGAAUCUGACAUCCUAUGUAUUAGAUCCCUUGGGUUUCAAGGCUCGUUUUGGGAAGCUUCUUCCUCUUCUGACUACUUAGGUGGAUGAAGGAUUGAUGAGUGUAUUGGUGCAGUUUUAUGAUCCCUUGUACCGUUGCUUCACAUUUCCGGAUUUUCAGCUUUUGCCUACACUUGAGGAGUAUGCUUAUCUUGUGGGUAUACCUGUUCUGGAUCAGUUGCCGUUCAGUGGCUUGGAGAGUAUUCCUACUUCACAAGAGAUAGUAGACAUGUUGCACAUAGAUGAAUCUCUGGUUGGUGCUCAUAUGACUACCAAAGGUGGAAUUCAAGGUCUCCCUUCUGAGUUCCUCAUUGCUCAAGCUACUAUAUAUGGGAAGGCCAUGAGUGAGGAUGCCUUUGAAGCCAUAUUUGUACUUCUCAUCUAUGGAUUGGUAUUGUUCCCCAACAUCGACAAGUUUGUGGAUGUGAACGCUAUUAGGAUCUUCUCUACUCUUAAUCCCGUUCCGACUCUGUUGGGCGAUACCUACUUCUCUUUGCAUAUGAGGAAUGCAAAGGGUGGUGGCGCCAUUGUGUGUUGUUUGCCUCUGUUGUAUAAGUGGUUUAUUUCUCACUUACCNNNNNNNNNNNNNNNNNNNNNNNNNNNNNNNNNNNNNNNNNNNNNNNNNNNNNNNNNNNNNNNNNNNNNNNNNNNNNNNNNNNNNNNNNNNNNNNNNNNNNNNNNNNNNNNNNNNNNNNNNNNNNNNNNNNNNNNNNNNNNNNNNNNNNNNNNNNNNNNNNNNNNNNNNNNNNNNNNNNNNNNNNNNNNNNNNNNNNNNNNNNNNNNNNNNNNNNNNNNNNNNNNNNNNNNNNNNNNNNNNNNNNNNNNNNNNNNNNNNNNNNNNNNNNNNNNNNNNNNNNNNNNNNNNNNNNNNNNNNNNNNNNNNNNNNNNNNNNNNNNNNNNNNNNNNNNNNNNNNNNNNNNNNNNNNNNNNNNNNNNNNNNNNNNNNNNNNNNNNNNNNNNNNNNNNNNNNNNNNNNNNNNNNNNNNNNNNNNNNNNNNNNNNNNNNNNNNNNNNNNNNNNNNNNNNNNNNNNNNNNNNNNNNNNNNNNNNNNNNNNNNNNNNNNNNNNNNNNNNNNNNNNNNNNNNNNNNNNNNNNNNNNNNNNNNNNNNNNNNNNNNNNNNNNNNNNNNNNNNNNNNNNNNNNNNNNNNNNNNNNNNNNNNNNNNNNNNNNNNNNNNNNNNNNNNNNNNNNNNNNNNNNNNNNNNNNNNNNNNNNNNNNNNNNNNNNNNNNNNNNNNNNNNNNNNNNNNNNNNNNNNNNNNNNNNNNNNNNNNNNNNNNNNNNNNNNNNNNNNNNNNNNNNNNNNNNNNNNNNNNNNNNNNNNNNNNNNNNNNNNNNNNNNNNNNNNNNNNNNNNNNNNNNNNNNNNNNNNNNNNNNNNNNNNNNNNNNNNNNNNNNNNNNNNNNNNNNNNNNNNNNNNNNNNNNNNNNNNNNNNNNNNNNNNNNNNNNNNNNNNNNNNNNNNNNNNNNNNNNNNNNNNNNNNNNNNNNNNNNNNNNNNNNNNNNNNNNNNNNNNNNNNNNNNNNNNNNNNNNNNNNNNNNNNNNNNNNNNNNNNNNNNNNNNNNNNNNNNNNNNNNNNNNNNNNNNNNNNNNNNNNNNNNNNNNNNNNNNNNNNNNNNNNNNNNNNNNNNNNNNNNNNNNNNNNNNNNNNNNNNNNNNNNNNNNNNNNNNNNNNNNNNNNNNNNNNNNNNNNNNNNNNNNNNNNNNNNNNNNNNNNNNNNNNNNNNNNNNNNNNNNNNNNNNNNNNNNNNNNNNNNNNNNNNNNNNNNNNNNNNNNNNNNNNNNNNNNNNNNNNNNNNNNNNNNNNNNNNNNNNNNNNNNNNNNNNNNNNNNNNNNNNNNNNNNNNNNNNNNNNNNNNNNNNNNNNNNNNNNNNNNNNNNNNNNNNNNNNNNNNNNNNNNNNNNNNNNNNNNNNNNNNNNNNNNNNNNNNNNNNNNNNNNNNNNNNNNNNNNNNNNNNNNNNNNNNNNNNNNNNNNNNNNNNNNNNNNNNNNNNNNNNNNNNNNNNNNNNNNNNNNNNNNNNNNNNNNNNNNNNNNNNNNNNNNNNNNNNNNNNNNNNNNNNNNNNNNNNNNNNNNNNNNNNNNNNNNNNNNNNNNNNNNNNNNNNNNNNNNNNNNNNNNNNNNNNNNNNNNNNNNNNNNNNNNNNNNNNNNNNNNNNNNNNNNNNNNNNNNNNNNNNNNNNNNNNNNNNNNNNNNNNNNNNNNNNNUUUUGGGUGUUUAUUCAAAAUGCAUCAGCACGUAGUGCGAGCAAGAUGAAAGACUCAACUGAAUAGCAGGGGAUGGAUUGCACAUCCCUUCUAUCUGCCAAUGCCUCUUCACUUAGGAGGUCUUUACAUGUAACCAUGCCUCAUUGAGGUCUUUAGCACAAAAUCAAACAAUCAAGAACAUGGCCUCUUAAGGAGGGCUUCAGACAGGUGCCUGCCAAAGAUAGCAGGUCUUCCAGACUACAUGGAGUUCAAGAGAUUACCUAAGUGGUACGCCAACCACAAGCAAAGCAAAGCAACUCAAAUAAUGAGUUAAAGCGGCUAAAAUACCUGUAAGAAAAUCAAACAAGUCAAUAUUCACAUUCGAACAACCAAACAAUCAACAACAGUCAGACAAUCCCAAUAUGCACAAUGCAAGUCAAUCAACUCAAGUGAUCUCAUCACCAAGGCACCUACAACACAAAAGGUUAGUGUACAAAAUAAUUUGCAUCUCAAGUCAUGAGACCAACAUCAAUCAUUAGGGCUACAAGCUUGAACCUGAAAUGCAAAACUCAAAAGAUGAGUACUAACCACUAGCACCAAGGCUAGGGUCAAAGACAAAGAAAAAAGUCAAAACAGCAACCAAUAUUCAACAUGAAGCAUAUUUAUUCCAGUAAACCACUAGCACCAAGGCUAGGGUCAAAGACAAAGAAAAAAGUCAAAACAGCAACCAAUAUUCAACAUGAAGCAUAUUUAUUCCAGUAAGAACAUGUCCUAAAAAGGACCAAACCUAAAUCAAAUGGAAAAGUCAUUAAUUGCACAAGAUAAGGCAAAAGGUACACAAGGUGAUCACAAUUGGACAUGAAGAAUCAAAAUUCCAAAUUAAAACAGAAAUGAAUCAAACAAUUCUGGAAAUUUUUAUGUGCACAUAACAUGUCAAAUAUAAUCAUCAUGCCAAAAAUCAGAAUCAACAGAGCUCAAUUGAUAUGGCAAUGAAAAUGAAUAAGAUCAACAUCA